rnacentral:lncRNA from 1 species
UCUACCAUUAACCAAACUCAGAAGUCCAAGAGAUAAAAGUAUCCUGAAAACAACAAAAAGAUACUCGGACAAGUUGGAUUCCGCAAGAUCAGACUGCCUCUCUUCCUUCAUAUCCUCCACCGAUCAUCAGAACUCAGAGAAUCUUCUACCUUCUCACGCUUGUGUAUACAAAAAGAUUUUAGCUUCUUGAAGCUUGAUGGAUCCGGUUUAGUCUGCCUUGGAUCUCGACCACUUUAGGACAUCACUGCAGAUAAAAUUUCUGGAGCUUCUUCAAGUUGGUCAGGUCAGGCAACUUGUCCAUAGAUGGUACUCCUCCAAGCUUGAAGGCACUUGGGUUCUCCAAAACUCGGAGGCCUCUGAACUCACUUUAGGGCAAUGAAGCCGAGUUAUCCAGACAAGUGGAAAGGAAAGAACGGCUUAUACUGCGUGGGACUGUUGAGGAGAGGGUUCUUGGGAGCUUCUCUCGACGCCCAGGGGCAACUUCCAAAUCUGACGGCGCCUUUGAAUUUGAAAGGUCUAUUGAUGUUUUUAUUUCCCUGCAUGAUUCAGUAUCUAAGUACAGCAAAUUUGGGGGAAGGCCAGGUCGGCAUUGCAGCUUCUUGGAGGGGACCAGUUCCCGUUCCUUGAGCUGUGAAAGAAGAAUGAUGUGUGAAGAUGGGGUGACGAAAUAAUGAGAUUUCAACAGCAAGGAUUCCAGCUUCCCUAACCUUCCAAGCUACCAAGGACUUGGAGCUUCAAUGAAUUUGAAAGCAUCAUCGAAAUUGUCAAAACCUGAAUUUUACAUAUAAUUUGAAUAUCGAAUUAAUAAAUAACUUAACAUCAAAUGAAUGUCUACAGUGAGAUCCUAACAGCAAGGAUUCUAGCUUCCCUAACCUUGUACAGAAUAUUCACCUUAAAAAGAUAUGUAGAAGCACAAAUCUACAUGUCCCUAAACUCCAAACCAACCAAUAUGUAUAAUAUUUUUUAGGGAGUGAGUUUAAGUUCAGUAAAUGAAAGCUCUACUUCCAAAAUGGGAGGCCUACUCACUACUUGAACCGAGAACACAACAAUAACAAUUGGCAAAUAAAGUCAUAUAUCAUUAUAUGACCAAAUCUCAUGAUGCAUAGAUAUCAGCAGCUCAUCGAUAUACACAAGUAAAUAUUUAUUCCCAACUCGUUAAUAGCCAUGACUCAUUCGACGGACUCAACCAACAAGAUAUCGUAACCACUAAAUAAUGCAGGACGAAAUCAUAAAUACAUACCACACUUCAACCCAUUCAUCACAUGUAUCCUCCAACGAUGAUAAAUACAGUAGAAACACAUAACGAUGCCUAUUCGUGGACUCAUUCUCAUCAAGAUUCAUACCCAUUCUAUUUUAUUUCUUUUCUCAAUCUUGGACCUUAAAUUCAUAACGUCAAGUAUGGGCUAUUUAAUUCACAUUAUGUCACGGAAGUCAUAUCAUUUCACGUAUGAAUCAUUGCACUUCAUGUCCUCCAACCCUAUAGAGACCCACCCUAAACAGUAGAAUAAUCAUUUUCUCCAGAGUCUUAUAUACAUACACAGGAAAAUUAACUGCAGUGCUGGUAUAUUACUAACAACACUUGCAGAAUUUCCAUGGAGUUGGUAAUUUACUUAAUUAUUAGAAUAUUGGUAAAUUCCUAAUAGUCUUGUUCAUUCACUUACGACAAUGGUAAAAUUUCAAAGGAGUUGAUAAUUUACGACUUCCUUAUAUCGAUAAAUUUCUGAUAGUGUUAGUAAUUUAUUUAAUAUUCAGGUAGAAUAUAAGAAGAUUUGGUAAUUUACCAAAUUAGUGGAAAUACGAUAAAUUUAUGAUUAUAUUGAUAAUUUACAACUGAUUCACCAAACAAGCAGGUAACCAGUCUUUUUUUUUUUUUAAACCAGCAAAAUUGGAAUUCUACCAACACGGAAAAUUUUCAAUUUUCCAACCCACGGCACCGUAGAAUUUUGCCCGGAAGUUUCUACAUCUCUACUUCUUCGACAAGAACUUAAAUCCCAACUGAUAAUUUCAAUUACUGAAACUUGAUACGUAGUCAUUAAUCAUUCAUAAGCCCCUGUAGAAAUCUGUUUUAAGUUAUGAAAACUAAAGGACCUUUGAGACCAUUGCACAUGAUCAUUAACUAGGGAGGGUUAUGUUCAUGCUAGGCACAAUGUUUUGCCCCUACUUCUUCAUUUCUUCAAUGUGAAAUUUUCAUGGGAAAUCCGCAACAAUUCUGUGAAUAUGGUUGCUGAUGUCUAAUUGAAUUCGUGACACUGAAUGCAACACAUUGAACAUUAAAAUCUGCGAAUAAAUUCUGGAGCAAGUUAUCUUGAAUCCUCAAUGAAUUUCUCCCAUGACGAGAUUAAUUACUAAUUGCACCCGCUAAAAAUUUUAGAAGUAGGACCACAACAGAACAUAAAAAGAAGAAAGAAAUUGCAGAACCAAUCGAUUAUAGGAAGUUUUCAUGCCUUCCAGGACAAUAUUUCGGUUUCAGCUAGACCUUGACAAGCUCAGAAGAACAACUGAUUCCCCAUGUAUGUUUUGAACUAGUUCCUAAGGAGCGAAAAUCAAUCCCCUAAUUGGUGCAGAAGUUAAUUGACGCACAGGAGUAGCAAUGUGUUUCAUAGAAUGCGACUUGUGGUUUAGACCAAAGCUAUUAAAGAUUAGAAACAGAUGGAAAAAAAUCAAUCGAGUCAGCUCCCUAGUGAGUUCAUCGAAAGGCUGUUUUCAUUGCGUAUGAAUGAUAAGUCGUGACUGAAAAUAAUAAAAACAACUCGAUCCGUUCCAAAUCUUUUCCUAAUGCAUCACUGAUUGCAUCGAAGUUUCGCACGCGGACCCAAUUCAUGCAAAAUGCGAAGAGAGAAAAUUACCAGAGAAGGGAUUCAGGUGAAGAUGAAGAAAACUAAAUGAAGAUGGCAGAGAAGGAAGAACCCUCGUUGGCCUCAGUCAGCUGCAACCAAAAUGGAAAAGGAAGACCACGGUCUAUUAACCCUUCGUGGGAACAGAGCGGCAGGCAGGAAGACGUGGUCGCAGUCCCCGGAGGGAGAUCUCCGCUGGGUCGGAUCGCGUCUCGUGAUUCGGCUAGGAGUCGCCGUCGCUGCUGGCUCUGGGCGAGCUUCUCGCUCGGGUCGUCGCUGAUGAGGGGAGGAAGACGAAGUAUGGAGAACGCGAGAGGGCGAGAGAGAGAGAGAGAGGAAGAGAGAGCGCAACGGAAGAAAAAUGAAAGACAAAAAAAAACAAAAAGAGAGAGAGAGAGAGAGAGAGAGAAAGAGAGAGAGUUGAAAUUUCUUAAGAGUGGGGUCCCACUUACGCACGUCAUUUCGAGAUAAUAUUCCUCACCACUCCAGUUCGAUAUCUCUUCUCCGUGAUCCUCUGCGCACGUAACCAUGCCUGUGAUAUCCGCCUACUCUCACUUUUUUCAAAUAUCUGUACUCAUCGGAUUUUAGGAUCUCCUCCAAUUUUUCACAAUCUUCUAUAGACGAGUACUGUAGCUUCUUGAAGCUUGAAGGAUCAGAAAACUUUCGCAGGGACCUGCACUUAAAAAUAUCAAGUCCCUUCAAUGAUUCUAGCCUACCUCGAAUCUCAACUAGACAAGGACAAUCAUAUAAGUCAAGAUGCUCGAGCUCCUUGUUGUUGGUCAGGUCAAGCAACUUAUCUAGCAACGGAAGACCCCACAAACAUAAGUCUAUUAAGUUCUCCGAAUUUUCCAGGCCUUGAAUCUUUUUCAACUUCGGACAGCGAGAUAUAUCUAAGUUUUCUAUAUGCUUGAAGGUUAGUGGAUCAAGCAGCUUUGCAAGUGAUUCACACUUCUCUAAAUAGAGCUCCUUCAACGAUUCUAGAUGACCUCGAACCUCAACCAAUUUAGGACAACCAACUAUCGCAAGGCUCCAGAGUUUCUUCAAGCCUGUCAAGUCAGGCAACUUCACAAGCAAUGGAAGAUUAGCAAGGUCAAGCCUCUGCAGGUUUUUCAAAUGUUCGAGGUCUUGAAUCUUUAUUAGCUGUUCACAACCAUCAUCUUUCAAUUCUAAUAACUUCCCCAAAUAUGAAAGAUUUAUCGACAUUAACUGCUGCCCAACAAAAUGGAAGUAUGACAAAUUCUGGGGAAGCCAAGGUAGGCAUCCUAGGCUAUUUAGGACAAGUUUGAGCUUCCUAAGCUUCGCGAGGAGAUUAAAAUUUGAAGGUAGGGUGACUAGACCAUCACCACCCAACCACAAGGACUCUAGCUUUCUUAACUCUCCAAUCCAAUUGAGGCUUGGAGCUAGAUCAAAAGGGUUUUGAUACUUCACUUCCAACACCAAAACUCUCAAAUUUAAUAGGUUCGAGAGAUCUGGACAUCUCAUCCGUCGAUUACCGGUCAGGUAUAGUUCGGUCAUACUUUCAGGAAGCUUAGGUAUAUUGGAAAUUCCCGUUCCCGUCAACCUCAAGAUUUUUAGAAACGACAAUCUUCUGAUCUCAGUUGGAAUUUCCCCAUACAAAAAUUGACAAUCGCCAGCUUCAAUCUCUUCAAGCUCUUCCAACAUCCCAAGGGCGCUAGGUAGCUUUUCUAAGAUGGAGUGAGAGAGCCUUAGUACUCUCAAAUUCUUCAUUGUCUCUAUUGAGUUGGGUAACUCUCGUAUUUUCGUCCAACAAAGAUUCAACUCAAUGAGAGAUCCAAAAUUUCCAAAUGGAAGUUCACUAAUUCCGGUACUUGUGAAGUUAAGAUAUGAUAGUGAUGUUGAGCAACCAGCUAAAUUGCAUUCACUCAGUAAUCUACAAUAAGCCGCACCGAGAGUUUCCAAUUUCUCCAUUCCUUUCCAUUCAGGAAUGUUGGUAAUAGAUGUGUGAUCAACAAGAAGUUCCGUCAAGGCUUCCAAUUCCUCCAUCUCGUCUGGCAAUGUGUGAAGUUUCCCACAAUAUUUCAAGUUUAAUAACACUAAAUGCUUUAACUCACCAAUAGACCUAUCAACUUGAACCAGUUCUCUGCACCCUUCAAGAAUCAAUUGCUCUAACUUUUGAUGAGCGGAAAAGUUAGGAGUUCUAAGCAAGUUUUUGCAAUCGGUCAAAUUUAGAACCUUCAAAUUCUCUGCCGUCUGUAAUGAAGAGAAGAGGUUGAUUCUGAAUCAUUUAGAGAUAUAGGGAAGCAAAGUCAAUAGAACAAAUUCAUUUUGAAAUAAUACCAUACCUUGAGGUGGUUCCAUCCCUCCCACUCAUCUGAAAUUUUACUCCUUGAUAGAUCAACAAUCACUAGCUUCUUAAGAGAACGUGCGGUGAACUUGAAAAAGAUAGGAAAGUUAUGCCAUGAGAGCCAUCUCAAUUUCGGAAGCAUGAUUGGAUUCCUCUGGACCUAGUUGGUAGAAGGAAAAUGCUGACCGUUGGUCUCCUCCGAGUCUACACAAUCCACUUGAAGAAAUCUUAAUUUUGAUAAGAUAGAUUUUCCAUUCUCAAUGGAGUCUUGAAAUUGAUGAUUAAACAUGAGACGUAUUGCUUCAACAUUUUUUCUUCCCUGCCAAAAAAAUAAUAAUAUCUAAAACUAAAUAGAAGCUAGUGAUCAUAUAAUUGCUUGUUGAAGGCAUUCAAGUUGAAUACAUUUGAGGAAUGUAUAUCUUAUAUAUAAUUUAAAAUUAAUUUACAAUAUAAUUUACAAAUGAGCAUGUCAUCGUACUAAGCACACAAGUAACGACUCGGUUCAGAUAGAAGCAAAUAAGCAAAGUCAACGUUUUUAACUCGUCUCUUUGAAUAGGAAUAACAGUGUGAACACCUUACCUCCUCUGUUUCUAGAACAUCAAUAGCUUCUUCAUGAUCCCACACCCGACUCUGCUUCUCUCUAGCUCUCUCACGAACGAUGACUCGCCCAAGGUCUCUUAACUGAUCAUGCACCCACAGUUGGUUACCUUUUGCGAUCUUUAUUAAUGACCUCUGUUUGAGGACUUCAAGAGAACAUUCAGGGAAAAACUCACAGCUGUCCCACAUGUAAGUCACAAUUCUCACAUUGAACCCAACAAAGAAGCAACAGACAUCAAGAAAUAUUUCCUGCUCUUGAGUUUCUAAUGCCUCGAAACUGAUGUUUAACUUAUUUUUAACCUUUUCAUUGGGAAUGGUCUCCAGCUUCUUUAACACAUUCUUCCAUUUAUUUAUGUCAUUUCUAUGCAAAAGUGAACCUAUAAUUUCAAGAGCCAAAGGAAGAUGACCACAGAUUUCUACUGCUUUUUGCGAGAGGGAGACAUAUUCUGCUGGAGGAGAAUCUCUUCCAAAGGCAUGUCUGCUAAACAGUUGAAGAGAAUGACCAAAAUCCAUUUCAGUAAGUUCAUGUUGAAAAUCAACAACUUUGAGAAGUUCCUUGUCUCUUGUAGUAAUAAUAACCUUACUUCCUCUGCUGAACCAACAUUCACCUGUCCCCACAAGAGCCUCCAGCUGAGUGUUUUGGUCGACAUCAUCAAGUAAAAGUAAAACCUUUUUAGAGGAUAACCUAUUCUUGAUUUCAGUAAUCCCUUCAUUAAUACUCUUGAUGGAUGGGCAUUCCUUUCUUAGGACGUCGGAGAUGAGUUGAUUCUGCAAACUAACAAUCUUUGUUUCUCGAAUGUUAGAUAGGAAGCAACAGUUAUCAAAAUCAGCCAACAGUUUAUUAUAGAGAAUUGUGGCAAGAGUUGUCUUUCCGACACCACCCAUACCAUAGAUACCAACAAUCUUUGUUCCGGUGGUCUGUUCGCCUAUCUUUUCCAUGAUUUGGUCCACUUGAUCAUCCAUUUCAACCAAGCAAUUAGUUACUGCCAGGUAGUUCUUUUUCAACUCGAUCAAAAGCUUCUGAACAAUUUCUUUUGUGAACUCGCCUUUGCCUCUGAUAAUGUGGAAGGCAACAGAACCAAACUGUUAAAUCAAGAUUAAGAGAAUAAUAUCUAAGGUACAAGCAAACCAUGCACAAUAAUAAAUUCAAGUACCUCUCCUUGAGUUCCCAUCCCUUUAAUUUUCCAACCUUGUUGAGAGCGGCCUUCCAGUUCUGAAUAGUCUCAUUAGUGUACAGCUGCUUAUUUACGUGUGACUGAAUGGCCUCGCCAUAAGUUCUAGUCUGCUUACGAACCUCGGAUGGUUCAACGUCAUAGAAAAUUGGCAUGAUCUCUUGUCCCCACUUUUCCUUGCACUCCACCAUCUGGACCAACUCCAUGAGGCACCAUUUACUGGCAGCAUAUUGUUUAGAAAAGAUAGGAAUCGAGAUUUUUGACUGCUUAAUCGCUUGGAGAAGCUCUGGGCCAAUAUCUUUCCCAACGCGAAGCUCUUCAUCAUCUCUGUAUGCUCGUAUUCCGGCAUCAACAAGGCUGUGGUAAAGGUAAUCAGUGAUGUCGCGGUGAGUAUCGGAUCCUCUAAAGCUCAAGAAUACUUCAUGAUAAGGUUCCAUUGGCUUCUCCAUUUCCUGAAUUUUCGAAGGACUUGCAACGACUUGAUAUCCCACCUGAAAAACAUUUACUAUGAAAGUGAGGUGAUGAUUAUCAUGAUUUCUCUCAGAAACUCUUCUCUUUAAAGUCAUUCUAAAAAGCAAUCUCAAUGAAAAAUGUGUGAGCUCCUUCUGGCAUUGCACUAGACACCAAAAUAUGUCCAAUUAUGGUAGAGAAGCUGACCCAGCUAAAUACUAAAGGAAGAAAUCUCCAACUUAUUGCGAAAUUAUGAGUUUUAGUUCGCACUUGAAAUUGAUUGGAAAAAAGGAAAAUUUAGAGAGAUAAAUCACUGUCAACAUAUUUUUGUCUUAAACUUUUUACUUAUGAGAUAAUUUUUUUCUUAAAAGGUAAAGUUGAAUGUCCUUUGCACAUAACCGCCUGCUGUGGCUUGUAGGUUGACUAAUUAUCUUAUUAUCUCAUAAGAAGUUAUGCCGAAACCGUCCUCUUUUAGUUUUACCAAAAUCGAUUUGACAAAAAGAUUCCACAAUAAUCGAUUGGCUGCUCACUUGAACUUAAUGGGCACAGGCAAAGAAUUGCAGUCCCCUAUGACUAAUAGUUAGGCACGAGGCUACUCUUCACAUCUAACAGACAGUAUCAGCAUAUCAGAAAAAGAGGAGCGGAUUACUAAUCACUUGUGAAGUUGAUAAAAAUUCAACAGAAAAAAGAAGCAUGAAUGCUAUAACCAUUUUUCCAGCAAAAUAAGUUUGACCACACAGGAGUGCCAGGAGUGCAGGGAUGACAGCUGCAUUUUAUGGAAGCGGAGACUUCCGGUUCACAACAGAGUGCAACAUUAUAGUGCAUUCAAUCUGUCUCCAGUGUUAAAUACAGAGUUGAUGGUAUCAAUUUUCUGCCUAGGGGUGUUCUUACUGCUAAUCGCUGGAAAUUAUGGUACCGAAAUAUCCUAAAGAUACGAGUAUCUCUGUUCACCAAAAAAAAAAAGAGAUCCCAUCAAACAAAUGAAAUCAACAGAUCCACUCAAACUAACUUAGCUUUUAGCACCAGCAAUCCACGCGAAAACUCAGAGAGAGAGAGAGAGAGAGAGAGAGUACGCGGGUGGCGAGCUCGUAAGACUGAGCGUUGUCGAUGAUGGAACCGGACUUGCCUCCGCCUUCGCUGCCGUCGCCACCGCCCUUCCUCCUCUUCUUUGGCUCGUCGUCGCGAGGGCCGCCACCGCUGCCGCCGCCAUUGAGGAGCUCAGUCCGAGGCUCGACACCGCUCGCCUCCGCUUCAGCUUCGGGCCGUCUCUUCUUCUCCACCAUUCCUGCUCUCCGAUAUCACAAAGUUUCGAUUUUUUGACACGGUACAAGGUCGACUGGUCAAGGGUUUAGGCCUCGAUCUUGGUGGUGGUAUUGUGUUUCAGGAUCUGAGGCCUGACAGUUGCAUAGAUGGAAGUGGAUGAGCAGGGUUUUAGCAUGUGACUCAUGAGUUAGAGGCUAAAGCUAUUAGUGUUAGACGCAACUGGCAGUGAUCAAUCACGGAGUCAACUGAGGGAAGAACUGAUGCUGAUCUGAGAGUCCCCUCUCUUGUUUCCAUCAAAUUUUGCAUCUAGUUGCAUUACGGAACAGACCCAAUUCGUUAAAAAAGAAGGCAAUCAACGAGAGGAAGUUACCGGAGAUGGAGGGGCUGAAGAUGAACAGUCCGGAUCAAAUGCUGAGAAUCAGAUAAAAGAUCCCAAGAAUAAGCGCUCUGGCUUUUGAGGUCAGCUGAAGAAAGACAAAGACUUCUAUUAGACGGCGAGUUCACCCUCCUUCGCCGUGUCCUUCCACGAAAGCGAGGGCUUGCUAGUUGCCAGGAAACUUCAAGCCGACCGUGUGAAGAGAAAAUAUUCAGUGGUUCGUGCGCGCCACGUCAGCUGAUGACGUGGCGCGCACGAACCAUUCAGAUACCGACACCUGUUAUGUGGGACCCGCUAAAAAAUGAAAGGAUUCGGUCGGCUCGGCUCGGCUCGCUGGCAGAAGAAAAGACAAGUCACGCAAAGCUCCCGCCCAAAAGACCAUCAUCUCUCCUCUUCAAUUGAAUCUUCUGCAAUUUUUUCUCUCUCUCUCUCACUUUCUCUCUCCUCGCGGGAAAACAAACACAGAACGAUCGAGACCUCUUCCGCUUCCGCCUUCGUCUCCGGCUCUGCCUCCUCAAAAGCCUCGCCGAUCAUCUGCUUCUGGCACGUCGAAGCCUCACCAAUCGCAGUUGGGUCCCGACCCCCUCCACCUCCGAUUGUUCCCACAGAGAUUGGGUACGAGGUUUGUGUCCGCCUUCGGCGCUGGCUCCGCCUUCCUCCCCAAAAUCUGCUUCUGGCACGUCGGAGCCUCACCAGUCGCAGUUGGGUCCUGACCCCCUCCACCUCUGACUGUUCCCUCAGAGAUCGAGCAGAAGGUUUGUGUCUGCCUCCGGCUCCGGCUCCGGCUUCGGCUCCCUCCCCCAAAAGCCUCAUCUGCCUCUGGCAUCCUCCGUCUCCGGCAUUUGCUCGUCCUCCCUGUCCCGCCGGGUUCCGCCGCGAAUCCAUCGGCCUUCGGCAGGAGGGAGGCAGCCUCGGUCUCGUUCCCGAGCGGCACUAGGCUCCCCGCCGCUGAUCGGGCGCUGUCCGUAACGCUGGCCCGCUCGGUCGCGAGGGAGAUCUCGGACGGCGCGGGCUGGAGAAGGAUUCCCGCCGGCCUCCGCCGCGAAGCCAUCGGCCUCCGGCAGGAGGGAGGCGGCCUCGGUCUCAUUCCCGAGCGGCACCAGGCUCCCCACCGCUGACCGGGCGUUGUCCCUGACGCUGGGCUGAUCAGUCGCGAGGGAGAUCUCGGCAGACCUGGGCGGGGUCAACGGCGCGGAGAAGAAGGAGAGGCACGAGCUGGAGAAGGUUUUUUAUUUUGACUUUUUUCUGGGAAAUUUCUCAAAGUCCAAAGAUUCUUUGGCACGAAAGGCGGGAGUACAAGAGAUGUUCAUGCGUGUUAUUAGAUUAGAAAUCAUUCAGUUUAUGCUAAUUGAUAUUCUUUUAAUAACGAUAAAACCCUUCUUUUGUAGGUGAAACCUAGGCCCACUCAAACUUUAAAUUUACUAAACCCAAAAAUGUAGAAUUCAUAUAUUUUUAUUAAUUGAGAUGAAUUAUGUUAGAGUUAUACCUAUUGAGUUUGUAAGACACAAAAAGUUAGGAAAAAUAACACCACAAAUGAUAUAACUUUCGUACAACACUCACUUGAGUUUUAUAACUUUUUUAGGAUUACUCAAGUGAUAAAACUUUCGUUUCGCACUCAGUUAAAUGUCAUAAUCUUCUUCUUCUUUUUUGUGCCGUAACUUUUUAAAAUCAUUCACCCAAGUGUCAAAAAUUCGACAUGGUAUAAUAUCUGUGAUGAACGUUUUUAAAAGUAUGGUAGUUACGUAAGUUAUGACAUUCAAGUAAAUAUAUAUAUUUUUUAAAUUAUGACACUUCAAUAAUGGAAAAGAAAAGUAAUUAUGGCAGUCAAGUAAAUAUCGUACGAAAGUUAUGAUAUAUAUAGUAUUUUAUUUGUCAAAAGUUGCAUUCAGCCGAAAAGGAGUAAGGCUCCAAAAAAAUUUGCAAUGGCAGUGAAAGCUUACCAAUUAUAGGUGGUUUGAAUAGAACUUCCAAAACCGAAGAUACCAAUAUGUGCAACCAUAGUAAUGUGUCUGGUCAGCAUUUAGCAAGUUGGUAGCCAUCCGACCUUAUUUACUUAUAAUAUAUGGGGUGAAAUGGCAAUGUUCAUAUCAUCGCCAGAAGGCACGGCAUCCUUUAACCAAGGAAAAUUUUAAGAGAAACUCAACUAUCCUAUAGUCCAAAAAUUGGAAAUUACAAAAUUAUAAGUAAAUCAUUAACUAAAAAAUAUAAGUCAACUUAACUUAUUAUUAUAAAUUAUUUGUGAUUAAACAUAAAAAUAAUAAUAUGUUGAUAUGCAUCGAUGAUGAUUAAUCAACCAACGAAGUAUUCCAUUGUUUUUAAAAAAUGAUUGGUAAAUUAAUUUGAAUUACUAUCAUGAUAUUAUAUUGUAGAUAUCUAAAUCUAAAGUAAAUGCAAUCAUAGUGUAAAAUCUACGUUAAAUAUUGGUAUUUUUAUUGCAUUUUAUUCUCAAUUUGGUUUUCCUAAAAGUGGACGUGUUGUGUUCAUUUUAAGAGAGGCGUUGAUAUGGUUGCUAAUGCCAAAUGUUUAUUUUGUAUGAUGAUAUGAAUUUGUUUUGAAAAUUUUGGAGAAAUAAAGAUCUAAAAAAAGGAUAGAAAAAUCAGACAAGAAAUCGUUCUGGAGAGGUCAAUUCCUCUCCAUCAAGUAGUUUUGAACAUCAUUCAUUUAGAAAGAAAAAAAAAAAAGAUGCUCCGAACAGUGGAGAUUGCAUUCAUUGUUGCACGAAUUCAUCCUCCCAUAAUCAAAUUUAAUUCAUGAAAUUUAUUCUACUUUUAGUUUUGUGUGAAAUUUCUUUGCCUACCUCGUUCAGGGAGCUCCUGGAGAUGCCAAAGAUUAUAUUCUUUAAUCUUCUUCAACAUGUUACCGCGAACAUGCGCCUCUCCAAGUCCCCGAGCUUCCUGGCGUCCACCACCUCGCGGUCGAGCACCGUCACCCUUUUGAUAAUCUUUGCAAAUCUGAGCAAGGGUCACGGCCAUCAUUGCCGAAUGGACAAGGGCAGCUAGCGGCAAGGUCGCAGCCGGCCUCACCGGCAAGUGGCCAGGGGCUGCCACCCUGCUUGGUUCGCUCAUUGCAUACGGGCAUGCACACUCACUUACCUCGUUCCUUUCUCAACAUGGGAAGGUGGUAGUGAGGGCCGAGCUGGCUUCUUCUAAGUCCGGCGAGGAACACCGGCCAAGCACUGUCCUUCUUGGUUCUCCACCAUUUGACCUUUCUUCUUUUUUCCAAAUUUUUACUUUUUUUGGGUUUUUAAUUUUAGAAAUCUUGGAAUCAGUUUUUUCCUCUCUCUCUCUCUCUCUCUCUCUCUCUCUCUCUCUCUCUUUUUUACAUUUUUCUUAAAUUUUGCUAAUACGACAGUCAUUUCAAUGCCUCUAUCUUCAGGAAAAAAAAGUCAGGUUAUUUUUUUCCCAUUAACUGAAUUGGAAGGACUUAAUAGUGGGAUUAGGGUGCCCUAGUUUAAUAAAUUUUAAGAUUUAAUUGUUCUUUUUGAAAAUUAUUAAAUGUGAUUGCACUUUUUACUAAAUUAUUUAUAGAUGUUCAAUUUAGCGUUUAGACUAAACUUGCCAUUUUCUUAUAGUUUAAGUACCACAUUAAACAUUUAUUAAUAUUUUAUGAUUGCAUUAUAUAAAUUAAAGUUUAAAAAUGAUAUAACACAUUUGGACAAAGUUCAAAUAUCACAUUAAACAAAUUAAAAAUUUAGGGACUAUAUAUGUUAUUUUUUCCCAUUUUUUAAAUCUAAAACUCUAGAAACUUAAGCAUAGACACGUAGAUUCACAUAUAACUUUUUUUUUGAUAAUUUUCUGAAAUUUGAAAAUAAUAUCAAUUUUAACAAAAAAAAACUACUGUCGACUUUUUUAACUCCAAACAAGCAUUAAAUCAAUAAAUUUUCGCCAUUUCUUUACAAUUUCAAUUCGCGUGCCGGAUGUUAAGAGUAAUAAGAUGCAGAGGACACCACUUUCAUGGGAGAGACGACUGAUGCAUUGCCAUGUUCUUCAGCGAUAUCGUCCCAACCAUCCAUCACUAUGUCUCUCUCCUCGCAAGAUGCGUCGCCAAGAAACACCUGAAGCUCGGCAUGACCGUCCACUCUCACCUCAUCAAGACCGCACUCGCCAGCGACUCUUUCCUCGUCAACCAUCUCAUUGGCAUGUACUCCAGAUGCUCUUCCAUCCGAAGCGCCCACAAGGCUUUUGAUGAUCUUGAUACAAAGAACAGUUACUCUUGGAACACCAUCAUAUCUGCAUAUGCCCGGAUAGGCGAUUUCAAGAAAGCGCUCGUCUUGUUCGAUGAAAUGCCGCAGAGGGCUCUUGUCUCUUAUAAUUCCUUGAUUUCUGGGUUGUCCCGUCAUGGGUUUUAUGUGGAGUCUCUGAGCGUCUUCAUGCAUAUGCAAAAAGAAUAUGAUUGUCUAUCCAUGGAUGAGUUUACUUUUGUGGGACAUGGACAUGACCCAAGAGAAAAAUUUGAUCUGGUCAGGCAGCAUCCAAACGAACCAAUAAUGGCAAGGUAGAUGCUUUCCAUUGUUCCAGCAACAAUGAGAUCAGAAUCUGAAAAUAUGUACACAGAAUGCCAUUACCAGAUAGCAUCUGAGCAAUCUCCACCUACCUCACACAAAACCUCCAGGUACAACGAGAGGCUUUCGUGAUGCCCAAUUUUCUGUGGACCAUGAGUCCUUCCUGAAACUUUAUGGUAUCUUUGACUUGAGGUUCUCUAGGAAGGUAUGAAUUGUUCAUUAAUACAAGAACUAUCACCUUGCAGCUGUAGCCUUCUUUUUUUUCUCCAGCAUCUUCCGUCCAAACACUUUUUAUUCACUACCCACCACCAUCAUCAUCAUAAUCAUCAUCAUCAUCAUCCAAGAUGAGUCUUAAGUUGGGCUCAGGAACAUAUCCAGCUUCCUUCAUAUGAUACGCUAGUUUCUUGAGCACUUCAUAUAAGUCUCCUAUCCGACAGUGGAAUUGGUCCUUUGCUGGAAAUUUGUGCAUUUCAUUCUUUACCUCAAUCCAACUGCUUGCCACAUCUUUUGUCAAAUCUCUCUCCUCCAUUUGCUUCCUUACUCUGCAGGAAUCAUCCCAUCCAUUAGUUGUGGCAUAUAUGCUUGAUAACAUGACAUACCUCGCAGCAUUUCGGGGUUCCAAAUUCAAUAGAGCAUCCACAGCUUUUCGGGCAAUAACUAGAUUGCCACGGACCUUGCAUGCACCCAAAAUUGCACCCCACAUUCCAACAUGGUUUGAUUUGUUUGGGACACUCUCUAUUGACUCAAUGGCUUCCUCAAGGCUGGCAGGAAGACGCGGUCGCUUUCCCGGAGGGAAAUCUCCGCCAGGUCGAGUCAUGUCUCGUGCUUCCGCUCAGUGUCGCCGUUGAGGGCCUUGAUGGUUGGGGUCCGUUGCUGCUGCUUCUGGAAGAGAAGGAAGAAGAAGGAAAGAAUGUGAGGAGAGACAGAGAGAGAGAGCAACGGGAGAAAAAACGAAACAAAAAAAUUAAAAAAGGAGAAAGAAGUCGAAAUUUCUUAAGAGUGGGUCCCACCUAUACACACGUCAUUUGAGAAAAUAUUCCUCACCACCACUCUAGUAUGGAACAUUUUAUCCGUGACUUCCUGCCCACCACCCUCGGCUUAUCCGGCUUUCCGUCAGGAUCCUCGCUUUUUUCAAAUCCCUGUACUCAUCCGAUUCCAGAAUCUCCUCCAAUCUCUCACAUCCUCUUAUUAUUAAAUCCUCUAGCUCCUUGAAGCUUGAAGGAUCAGAAAAUUGUCGCAGAGACCCGCAGCCCCAUAUUUCAAGUUUUUUCAAUGAUUCUAGCCUACUUUGAAUCUCAACCAGACGAGGACAAUGCCUUAUCUCGAGACCCUUGAGCUCCUUGGCGUUGGUCAAGUCAGGCAACUUCUCUAGCAACGGAAAAUACUUCACCCAUAAGAAACGCAAAUUCUCCGCAACUUCCAGGCCCUAAAUCUCUUCUAGCUUAUGACAUUUUUCUAUAGAUAAUGAUUUUAUAUGCUUGAAGCUUAAUGGAUCAGGCAGCUUUUCAAGUGAUUCACAGUUAAAUAAAUAGAGACCCUCCAACGAUUCUAGCUGACCUCUAACCUCAACCAGUUUAGGACAACUUUCUAUAUGAACACUUCGGAGCUUCUUCAAGUUGGUCAGGUCAAGCAACUUUGCUUGUGACACAAGACCACUAAGACGAAGCUCUUUCAGGUUAUUCAAAUGUUCGAGGCCUUGAACCUGCACACAACAAUAGACUUGCAAUAAUGAUAACUUCUCCAAAUAUGAAACAUUUAUCACUGCAUUGUCCAUUAACCUGCCCCCAUAUAUCUUAAAGUAUGACAAAUUCUGGGGAAGCCUAGGUGGGCAUUCUAGAUUAUGUACGCAGAGUUCAAGCUUCCUGAGCUUCAAAAGGAGAUUAAAAUCUGAAGGUAGGGUGACCGGAUUAUCGUAACGCAAAUACAAGGUUUCUAGCUUUGUUAGCCUUCCGAUCCAAUUGAGGCUUGGAGCUAGAUGGGAAGGGGUUUGAUACCUUGAUUCCAAUGUCAAAACUCUCAAAUUUAAUAGAUUCGAGAGAUCUGGGCAUCUCAUCUGUAGAUUAUAUUCCAGGUAUAGAUCGAUCAUACUUUCAGGAAGCUUAGGUAUAUUAGAAACUCUCGAGCUCGAUAACCUCAAGAUUCUUAGAAAUGAUAGUCUUUCAAUCUCAUUUGGAAUUUCCCCACACAAAAUUAUACAACCAUCAACAUGGAUCGCUUCAAGCUUCUCCAACAACCCAAGGGCACCGGGUAGCUUUUCUAAGGGGGUGUGAGACAUCCUUAGUACUCUCAAAUUCUUCAUCGUCUUUAUUGAAUCAGGUAACUCUCGUAAGCUUGACCGAGAAAGAUUCAACUCAAUGAGAGACCCAAAAUUUCCAAAUGGAAGUUCACUAAUACUUGUUUCUGACAAGUCAAGAUACAAUAGUGAUGUUGAGCAACUAGCUAAAUUGCAUUCACUCAGUAAUUUACAGUAAGUUGCACCGAGGGUUUCCAAUUUCUCAAUUCCUUUCCAUUCAGGAAUAUUUGUAAUAGAUGUCCAACCAACACGAAGUUCUGUCAAGGCUUUAAGUUCCUCCAUCUCGUCUGGCAAUGUCUGAAGUUUCCCACAACCUUCCAAGUUUAAUAACACUAAAUGCUUUAACUUACCAAUAGAUUUAUCAACUUGAACUAGUUUGUAGCACUCUUGAAGAAUCAAUUGCUCUAAAUUUUCAUGAGCAGAAAAGUCAGGAGUUCUACGCAAGUUACAUUUAGUCAAAUUUAGAACCUUCAACUUCUUUGCCAUCUGUAAUGAAGAGAAGAGGUUAAUUUGGAUCAUUUUGAGAUACAAGACAACAAAGUCAAUAUAGCAAAUUCAUAUUGAAAUAAUACCGUACCUUGAGGUGGUUCCAUCCCUCCCACUCAUCUGUAAUUUUACUCCUUGAUAGAUCAAGAAUCACUAGCUUCACGAGGGAAAAUGCGGUGAAUUGGAAAAAGAUGGGAAACUCAUGCCAUGAGAUAUAUUUCAAAUUUUGAAGGAUGGGUAGAUUCCUCUGGAACCAGUUGGUUGAAGGAAAAUACUGAAUGAAUUUAGACCAUGAGAGCCAUCUCAAAUUCGGAAGGGUGGGUAGAUUCCUUCCAAACCAGUUGGUAAAAGAAAAAUGUUGAACGUUGUUCAUAUCCAAGUCCCCACACUCCACUUGAAGAAACCUUAAAUUUGGUAGACUUGCAAAUUCAUUCUUUAAAAAGCAUUGAGAUUGAUGAUCAAAUGUGAGACAUAUUGCUUCAACAUUUUUUGUUCUCUGCCAAAGCAAAAAAGGGAAACAUAAGCUGGUUAUCAUAUAAUCACUAGUUGAAGGCAUUCAAGUUGAACGCGCUCAAGGACUUAAGGAAUGUACAUCUUAUUCAUAAUUGAAAUUAAUUGAUAAUAUAAUUUAUAGAUGAGCAUGUGAUCAUAGUAACCACACAAGUAACGACUUGGUUUAGAUAGAAGCAAAUAAGCCAAAUCAACGUGUAUAACUUGUCUCUUUGGAUAGGAAUAACAUUGCAAACACUUUACCUCCUUUAUUUGAAGAACAACAAUUGCUUCCUCAUGAUUCCACACCCGACUCUGCUUCUCUGGUUUUAAAUUAGCUCUUUCACGAACGAUGUCUCGUCCAAGGUCUCUUAGUUGAUCAUGCACCCACAGUCGGUUACCUUCUGCAAUCUUUAUUAAGGACCUCUGUUCAAGGACUUCAAGAGAAUAUUCAGGGGAAAACUUACAGCUGUCCCACAUGUGAAUCACAAUUCUCACAUCAUACCCAACAAAGAAGCAACAAAUAUCGAGAAAUAUUUCCUUCUCUUAAGAUUCUAAUGCCUCGAAACUGAUGUUUAACUUACUUUUAACAUUUCCAUCUGGAAUAGUUUCUAGCUUCUUCAACGUGAUCUCCCAAAUUCUCCUCUCUUUUCCAUUUAAAAGUGAACCUAUAGUUUUAAGAGCCAAAGGAAGACCAUCGCAGAUUUUUAGUGCUUUUUUGGAGAGGGGAACGUAUUCUACUGGAGGAUUGUCUCUUCUAAAGGCAUGUCUGCUAAAUAGUUUAAGAGAAUGUUUAAAAUCCAUUUUGAUAAGUUCAUGCUGAAAAUCAACACCUUUGAGAAGUUCCUUGUCUCUUGUGGUAAUAAUAACCUUACUUCCUCUGCCGAACCGGCAUUCAUCCACCCCCACAAGAGCAUCCAGCUGAGUCUUUUGGUCGACAUCAUCAAGUACAAGUAAGACCGUUUUAGAGAACAACCUCUCCUUGAUCUCAGUAAUUCCUUCAUUACUAUUAGUGAUGGACAGGCAACUUGUUCGUAGGACUUUAGAGAUGAGCUGAUCUUGCAAAGUCUCAAUUUUUGUAUCUCGAACAUUUGACAGGAAGCAACAGUUAUAAAAAUCACCCGAUAGUUUAUUAUAGAUGAUUGUGGCAAUAGUCGUCUUUCCGACACCACCCAUACCAUGUAUACCAAUAAUCUGUGUUUUAGUGGUCUGUUCACCUAUCACUUCCAUGAACUUGUCCACUUGAUCGUCCAAUUCAACCAAGCAAUUAGACAUUGCCAAGGAGUUCUUUUUCAACUUGAUCAAAAGCAUCUAAACAACUUCUUUUGUGAACUCGCCUUUGCCUUUGGCAGUAUUGAAGGCAAUAGAACCAAACUAUUAAAUCAAGAUGGAUAGAAUAAUAUCUAAGAUACAAACAAACCAUGCACAAUAAUAAAUUCAAGUACCUUUGCUUGAGUUUCCAUCCCUUUAAUGAUCCAACCUUGUUGAGAGCUGCCUUCCAGUUUUGAAUAGUCUCAUCAGUAUACAACUUCUUAGUUAUGUGUGACCGAAUGGCCUUGCCGUAACUUGCAAUUUGGUCACGAACCUCAGAUGGUUUAACGUCAUAGAAAAUCGGCAUGAUCUCUUGUCCCUACUUUUCCUUGCACUCCACCAUUUGGACCAACUCCAUCAGGCACCUUUCACUCUCAGCAUAUCUUUCAGAAAAGAUAGGAAUUGAGAUUUUUGACUGCUUAAUCGCUUGGAGAAGCUCCGGGCCAAUCUCUUUCCCAACAUGAAGCUGUUCAUCAUCUCUAAAUGCUCGUAUUCCAACAUCCAUGAGGCUGUGGUAAAGGUAAUCAGCGAUGUCGUUGCGAGUAUUAGAUCCUCUAAAACUCAAGAAUACUUCAUAAUAAGGUUCCACUGGCUUCUCCAUUUCUGGAAUUUUCAGAGGACUUGCAACGUCUUGAUAUCCCACCUGAAAUAUAUUUACUAUGAAAGUGGAGUGAUGAUUAUCAUGAUUUCUCUCAGCCACUAUUCUGUUUUAAGUCAUUCUAGAAAAGGACCUCGAUGACAAAUGCAUGAGCUCCUUCUAGGGCCUUGCACUAGACACCAAAAUAUGUCCAAAUAUUUUAUUAACAAUACGGUAGAGCAGUGGACCCAUCUCGAUUCUAAAGGAAGAACUUUCCAAAGUAUCGCGGAAAUUAUGAAUUUUAGUUCACACUCGAAAUUGAUUUGAAAAAAAAAAAAGAAUAUUUCGCGCAAAGAUAAAUCACUGUCAACCUAUUUUUGUCUUGAACUCUUUCUUUAGGUGAUAAAAUUUCUCUUGAAAGAUGACGUUGAAUGUCCUUUGCACAUAAGCACCUAAAGUUGCUUGUAGCUUGAAUAAAUUUGUCAUUAUCUAAUAAGAAAUUAUAAUAAAACCUUCCUCUAUUAGUUUAACCAAAUUAGAUUGGACAAAGACAUUCCACAACACUAAAUUACUAGCUCCCUCGACCUUUACAGAUGCGGGCAAAGAGUUCAUUCCCCUACGACAAUCUCAUUAGAAAAAUGAAAUCAAGAAAUUACACUAAAGCAAAUGCAACUCUCACCAUCGGACUAGUUUGUAAAGAGCAUAAACCGAUCCCUAAUUACAGCCAUCUCAUAGGUUAUAAAAAAAAAAAAAAAACAGAUACACGAUCAUGGGCGAGCAUCAGUUAAGCUUGAAGCUAUUAUCCACAUUUGCCAGAAAGUACCAGCAUAUCAGAAAAAAUGAUUUAAUUACUAAUAAAUUAUGGAGCUAAUAAGAUUUCAACAGAAAAUAGAAGCAUGAAUGGUAUAUAACCGUUUUUCCAGAAAAUAAGUUGGAACACACAUGAGUGUAGGGAUGAGAGCUGCAUUUUACGGAAGCAGAGAGUACCGGUUCACCACAAAGUGCAACAUUGUAGUGUAUUCAAUUGUCUUUACUGUUAAAUACAGAGUUGAGGGUACCAAUUUUCUGCCUAGGAGCAUUCUUACUGCUAAUCACAUGACAAUAAUGUACGAAUUUGUCAUAUCAAAGUCUCUUAAAGAUACCACUAUCUCUGUUUGAGCAAAAAAAGAAUAAAGUCCAACUCGUAAUUACCAUAAUUAGUCGUAUCGACAAACCCAGUCAAAUUAAUUUAGCUUUUAGCCCUGGCCCAGUUCCUAAAGAGGUAAAUCCGAUUCCUAAUUGCAGAUGAUGGAUUUAUGAGAUGGGCUUAAGGCCCAUCCGCUCAAGUUGGGCCAAAAAAGGCCCGGCCCACGGGAAUAGGGCCCGUGGAUGGGGAAAGGUAUAAAAGGGAGGAGAGAGAGAGAGAAGACACCCUUUUGGCACAAUUCCAACGUACAUUCUCUCCCACUCUCCCUCCAAAAAGAAGAAAAAUGCUUACGGCGAUACCGUCUUCCUUUCAAAGCGAAUUGACAUCAUCGGAUCAGAAUUUCUUCCUCGAUCUUCAGCAUUGGUGUUUAAUCUGUGGCUAACAAGGUACACUCGAAUCCGUGGUGUGCUUUACGAUCGGUGAUACGUGUUAUUCCCGGGCUUCGUCUUCCGCAUUAAUUUAGGGGUUCGAUUUAGUGUCGAAUCCGGUUUUCGGGGAUCCGUUAUUCCCAACAUUGGUAUCAGAGCCCUAGUUCGCAUUUUCCCGAUCAAUUUGAUGUUUUUUGAUUGAUUUUUCGCGAAAAAUUUUUGGCCGUACGGAUUGGGGCGAGAAAUCCCGACACCCGAGAGCUUUUUGGCCAUUUUUCCGAGUUUUCGUAAGUCGAAAUCGUUUUCUGAAUACAUGGGGAGAAAGGCGACGUCGAGACGAGUCCGGCGACAUGUCGCACGCCGCCGUACGACACCGCACGCGCCCACACGCGCGGCCAGAAGCCUCUGCGCGUGGGCGCGAUGCGCCACACGCGCCGGUGACGAACCGGUACAUGCGCGCCGGCGACCGGGCGAACCGGCAUGCGCCAGUCCGCGAACCGACGUGUGCUGACGUCACGCGAUGACGUCAUCAUGACGUCAUCCAACGGUCGGUAAUCGCUCGGAUGACGUCACUGAUGACGUCAUCGCCGACGACGUUUCGCCGGGUGGUCACCGGCCGGCGACCCGACUCGACGGCGACCCAACCCGACCCGAUCAGCCUGGCGCAUGCUGCGCAUGUGUGGCUGACGUCAGCACGUUCACGCGCGAGCGCACGCGCGCGGCACAUGCGGUCGGUUCGUCCGACCGACCCGACCGGUCCGUCCGGUCCGACCGGGCUUCCGACCCGCGCGCCCGUUGACCCGACCCGUUGACCAUUGACCGACCGUUGACCCGUUGACUGAUGACCGUUGACCGACCGUUGACCAUUGACUUUGACCAUUGACCGUUAACCAAAAAAAAAGAAAAAAAAAAGAGGAAGUUGUUUCUUUUUCAGUCAUGCCUAUGUGGGUUAUAAGUAAUCCAUUUUUAAUUCUGCAUUUGUUGCAUGAAUUUUGGAAAAUUAUGUAUUUUCCCUUUUAUUUAUUAUGGAUUAUAAGUGAUCCAUUUUUAGUUAUGCAUUUGUUGCAGGAACUAUGAUGCGUUAUGCACGGAUACCUGCAAUCCCGAGAAUGGACGAGGGACAUGCAAGACUGAAAAGGCUGAUGUUAGAUUUAGCUAAAUAUCGGUGGCAUAACGGUGAUUUAGUAUCACAUGUGGUCAAGGUCAAUCAGAUGAUACAAGAAAUCAUCAGUAAUGAUUAUCUUAUGCCGGAUUUUGAGAUGGUGCCGGCUUUGAUUAACACUUUUCCACCUGAAUGGCAAGCAGUGUUGGAUCGGCUAUGAGAGGUCAACGUGGUCCCGGGUUAUAGAAGGCUAGUAGAAGCUUUUGUAAGAGAGUACUAUAGGAUUGAGUUGGCCAAAACUUCAACCCUUAGAUUGAGCGCCACAUGGCGUAGAGUAAAUGCGCCUUGGUGGUGACAUGAAUGCUCUCCAAAAGUUUUUCCAUGGUUGGCAAAUGUGCCUUCAGUUUUCUCAGAUGUUUUGACUGAUAGAUUAGAAGGGACAUUCCCUAUUUAUUUCUUUGAUUAAUUAUGUAAUGUUUACUAUCUGAUUGUUGUUGAUGUAGCAACCGAUAUGUUAGUUGUAUCAUGUGAAAGCAUUGUUAUUUUAUUGGAUGUUAAGAUUUUAUUUGCUUUCUGCUAUUGCUGGUUGCUGUGGGUAGUAAUAGAAGUUUUUGUAACUUCAUAGAAUUUAUUUGCAUAAGACAAUUAUAUUAAUAAUAAUUUUGAGUUAGGAUUUUUGGAGGAUGAUUGGAAACAUAGUGACCUUUUGAUUCUGAAGCCUUACUUGAAAUUAUUCAUUAAUAUGAUGGGUCUAUGCAAAUAGGGAUGUAUAAAUGAUAGGCAUUAAUUAUUCGUGCAUAUAUGUCUGAUGUGUUUAGAUCGAUGGUUUCAGCAACUAAGAAUGUAAUUGCUGAUAUGAACGGUAACAAUUGUGAAAUAUUGAAUAAGAAGAUUCAAUAUAUGCUGGAAAAGCAAGAAGCACUAGAAGCUCUUGACCAUGUUAUGGAAGACCUUAAGGAUGCCAUGCGCCACCUUGAGCUAGUAGAGGACCGCCUAACGGUAUUUGAGCCGAAAAUAGACAUUUGCUAUGCUGGUUCUAGCUCAGAAAGGGCUUUGUGCUCUAAGCGCAAGCGUAUUGAUUCGUUCAAUAUGUGGGAAUGCAAAGGAUCAAGUCCUUAUUGCAAGAAAUCAAGAGUUAACCAACACAAGAGAGGAAAACUUUCAAGGGUGAGAUGUUACAAUUGUGACAAGAGAGGUCACUAUGCUCGCGACUGUCGUGAGCUAAAGAAAGUCAACACCUCUUGUACAUUUGAGAACUUUGCUUAUGUAUCAAGUUCAAUAUUAUUGGCUGAAUCCAAUCCUUUGUGGACUGAAGAUUUAGAAGCGACAGACCAUAGAGGGAAGGAUAGAGAAUCCUUCGUGGAAUUCCGACGAGUAUCAACUGGAACUGAGUGGAUUCAUAUGGGAAACAACUCUAGAGCUGAUGUAAAGGAAUUGGCACUGACUGAUUAAACAUGAGUGGUGGACGCACCUUGAUGUUCUAUAUGCUUUAGAGAUUCGUCGAAAUUUUGUGUCUGUUUUUGAUAUUGGUUAAGCUUGGUUUUAGUAUGAACUUCCAUAAUAAAGGUGUAGAUUUGUAUUUGGAUACAAACUACUAUGAUUGUGGUCACUUACGGAAUGGUUUUAUUGUACUAAAUGUUAAUUGUGAUGAUGUCAAUAUGUUAUUCCAUUGUUUCACGUCUUCUACCUUAUAUGAUAAUGAUGUGAAUAUGGUGGCAUGCUAGACUUGGUCAUAUGGGCCACAACAACAUAUGAAUAGACUAGCCAAAGAGGGCUUGUUGGGCAAUAUUGAAAAAGUCGAUUUGUCCAUGAGUGAGCAUUGCCUAGUAGGGAAAAUAACAAGGAAACCAUUUGGAAAAGGUAAAAGAGCUGAAUUUCCUCUGCAUUUAAUCUAUUUGGGCGUCUGUGGUUCAAUGAAUGUGAAAGGAAGGCAAUGGUUUGUUUAUUUCAUCACUUUUUUUAUAGAUGAUUAUACACGAGUCGGAUAUGUCUAUUUGAUUUCUCAUAAAUCUGAAGCAUAAGUUGUUUCAAAAGGUUUAUGAACCUGGCAGAAAAUCAAUUAGACAAGAAAAUAAAAGGUAUUUAGAUCCGAUCGAGGUUGAGAAUAUUUAUCUGAUAAGUUCAGAAAAUUAUGUGAUGAAAAAGGAAUAGAAAGAUAGUUGUCUAUUCCAUAUACUCCUCAACAAAAUGGUGUUGCAGAGAGAAUAAAUAGAACCUUACUGGAAUGGUUAGGUCCAAGAUGGCGCAUGCUAACUUACUUAUCACCUUUUGGAGUGAUGUGUUGUUAACUGCUACUUAUAUACUUAACCGGGUGCCUUCCAAAUCAGUUAUUUCCACUUCAUAUGAGUUAUGGACAGUUAGAAAACCGGACUUAAGUUUUCUUAAGCCAUGGGGUUGUGCUGCCUAUAUUCAUGAGUCCUCUCACAAGUUUGAGAAAUUGGGUCCCAAAGAAAAUAAGAAUAUUUUCAUGAGAUACAGCGAACACUCAAAAUGGUAUGUGCUCAUAGGUGAGCAGGAAAGUGAGAGUAUAACUGAAUUUGAAUCACGGGAUGUCACAUCUUUAGUGGAUGAAUUUCCUAAGAGGGGCGAAAUAAGGGAAAAUAACUCCCUAUUUGAAACCUUGGAUCAAGAUAAUGAUGUCAAUGGAGUUUGUCCAAGUGGGAGUAAUAUGAGAUGUGAUGAAUUGAAUUCAACUCAUUCUCAAUUGCAACCACCUAAUGUGACGACAUCAUCAUUACCUAAUCCAAGUGGGAGCAUGAUGGGGAAUGAUAUGCUAAGUGUACAAUCUCCCAUACGGUGAACAAGUCGCCAAAAUAUUCCCCGUCGAUGUUUUGACAUUGAAAGGGAAAUUUUUAUGGUUGCUCCACAAGAUGAGGAUGAGCCAAGAAAUAUUAAUGAGGCUCUAAAUUGCCCUAAUAAGGAAAAAUGGAUUCAUGCAAUGAAAGAGGAAAUGGAGUCAAUGAAAUCAAACCAAGUCUGGGAACUAGUUGAUUUUCCAAAAGGACACAAAGUUAUUGGGAACAAGUGGGUUCUCAAAAUAAAGCGAAAGGCUGAUAGCUCGAUAGAAAGGCAUAAGGCUCGCCUUGGUAUAAUCAACAGGAAGGAAUUGAUUAUGAAGAUACAUUUUCUCCUGUAGUAAGAUUUACCUCGAUUCGCAUUAUUCUGGCAAUAGUGGCUAAUCUGGAUCUUGAGUUACAUCAAAUGGAUGUAAAGACUACUUUCUUCAAUGGAGAAUUAGAGGAAUGAACAUAUAUAGAACAACCUGCUGGUUUCAUAGUGAAAUGCCAAGAAGAAAAGGUAUGUCGACUUUGGGGGUCGAUAUAUGGCCUUAAGCAGUCGUCAAGACAAUGGUAUAUACGUUUUCAUAAUGCCAUAAUGGCAUAUGACUUUACAAUGAUAUAUGAGGAUCAUUGUGUAUAUAUCAAAAUAUCCAAUGAUCAAUUUGUGAUCAUAUCAUUAUAUGUUGAUGAUAUACUAAUUGCCGGAAGUAAUAUGGAGUUUGUCAAUACUGUCAAAAGUUGGUUGUCUUCCAACUUUGAGAUGAAAGACAUGGGUAAUGUUGCAUACAUUCUUGGAGUUAAGAUUUCAAGAUUAUAAACCCAUAGACAUUCCUAUUGCAAAAGGUGAAUGAUUGAGCCAUAGACUGUGUCAAAGGACUCCACAAGAGAAGGAACAAAUAAAACAUGUUCCUUAUGCUAGUGCUGUUGGAAGCUUGAUGUACAUUAUGAUGUGUACAAGACCUAACAUAUGUUUUGCAGUUUGAAUGGUGAACAGAUACCAAUCCAAUCCAGAUCAAGCACAUUGGAAAGCCGUUAAAAGAAUACUAAGGUAUCUAAAGGGAACUGCUGAUUAUAUGCUGAGUUAUAAAAGAAAGGAUCUGCAACUCAAAGGCUAUUAUGAUGCUGAUUGGGGGAGGAGAUUUAAAUGAAAGAAAAUCUAUCUCUGGGUUUGUUUUCUUAUCGAAUAAUGGCACCAUAUGUUGGAGCAGUAAGAAACAAAAGUGUAUAGCCUUGUCCACGAUAGAAGUUGAGUUCGUGGUAUUAUCAGCAGUAGUAUAAGAAGAUGUUUGGCUUAAGAGAUUUUUGGAUCAUUUAGGUGUUAUUGGAAGUGCUGCAGAUUCAUUGUUGGUUAACUGUGAUAGCCAAGCAGCAAAAGCGUACACUAAAGAUUCAAAAUAUCAUGGCAAGACCGGACACAUAGAUACCAAGUAUAAUUUUGUAAAGGAUAUGGUUGUACGAAAGGAUGUGAACUUAGAGUACAUACUAUGCAUAGAAUGGUAGCAUAUCCUAUGAUAAGGCCAAUACCUAGUGAUGUGUUUUGUGGCCAUAUGAAAUCUCUAGGAUUGCGUAGAGGUUAAUGUACUGAAUAUUGUAAUUUCCUUAAGUGUUCACAAUUUGAUGAAUUUGUGUUUUCAUCAUUAAUGCCUAUGAAUCUUUGUUUGAUCUCUAUGCAUCUUAAUGCUUAGUGUAUUACUUUAAAUUGAGAGGUAUGUCGGACAGAUAUAAGAUUAGCCCACUCACACGGGUAAUCGCCUCUAUUUACUGUGUGAUAAAUAGAGAUGAGACUAUUUUUAAGCUUAUUAUCUAUGUGAUAAUCGAGAGCUCAAGCUUAAAACAUGUAUGUCGCAUUAACUAGGUGUUAAGAUGAGGAUAUAAUACUUACUAUGUCCGAAAGUAAAAUAUGAAUACCCCCAUAUUUUACUUUAUCUGUCUAAGAUGCCAGAUGUGAGUUCUGAUGAAUUUUGUGAAUGAGUAGAUACGUGAACUCAAGUUAGACAUUGGGUAUGUCUGAACUAUCAUAUAUACGGUAUAAAAGGUGUAGACAUACACUCCAUGGGAAAUGAGUUAAUACUGUAAUACGUAUUUCAUACUACGUAUGCAUGAGACGACCAAUAAGAGUGACAAAAGUUUGAUCUCAACUUUUAUGUCGUGUAAGACUCUUGAGGAAGAGAGUUCCUCAAUUUUUUUGUCCCCUCAUGACUCUUACUUAUUCUCGAGAUUUCUAUUUAGUGUUUGGUAUCUUAGGAUGUUGCCAAUGGUCAUGAGUGAUUCGAUCUAAUGGGGCAUUUCUAGAAAAGCAAGCUGAAAUGAAAUUGAGAGUUUGAAGGAAAGAGGAAGAUCAAAUUUGGAGAAUCACAUUGUAGUUUUGUAUUCACCGGUUAACCAAUUAUGACUGUCUUUGUGAUAAUCAUAAUUGUGAAUACAAUAUAUAUAUAUCAUUGUUUAAAAGAGAUCAAGAGAGAUAUAAAUGUGAUCGAUCGAUCUAGGGUACUGCAUAUUAAAUCUACUCAGGAUGUGAUGCCCAUUAUGAGCUGCUAUAUAUUCCUAACAGAUGUAUGGCAACGAGCUCUCAAAGUAUGCUGGUCGCACGGAUUAUUCAUCGGUAUGAAUGUUGAAGAGAAGAAAAGAGGAUUUUGUUCGGCCCACCAUGUUAAGUGAGAGUCUAUGAUGGAUUUUUUUCUGAUGGGGUUGAGUAGGGCCUGUCCGCCCAUGUUGGUUUUGGACCACCACGUGCGAGUGGGAGAUAAUGGAUUUAUGAGAUGGGCUUAAGGCCCAUCCGCUCAAGUUGGGCCCAAAAAGGCCCGGCCCACGGGAAUAGGGCCCGUGGAUGGGGAAAGGUAUAAAAGGGAGGAGAGAGAGAGAGAAGACACCCUUUUGGCACAAUUCCAACGUACGUUCUCUCCCACUCUCCCUCCAAAAAGAAGAAAAACGCUUAUGGCGAUACUGUCUUCCUUUCAAGGCGAAUUGACAUCAUCGGAUCAGAAUUUCUUCCUUGAUCUUCAGCAUUGGUGUUUAAUCUGUGGCUAACAAGGUACGCUUGAAUCCGUGGUGUGCUUUACGAUCGGUGAUAUGUGUUAUUCCCGGGCUUCGUCUUCCGCAUUGAUUUAGGGGUUCGAUUUAGUGUCGAAUCCGGUUUUCGGGGAUCCGUUAUUCCCAACAGUAGAAAUCUGUGAGAUCUAUCGACAAACUAAUGCAUAAAAGUGGCAUUGCGUUUCAGGAUCUGAGGCCUGACAGUUGCAUAGAUGGAAGUGGAUGAGCACUGAGCAGGGUUUUAGCAUGCGACUCAAGUUAGAGGCUAAAGCUAUUAGUGUCAGACGCAACUGGCAGUGAUCAAUCAUGGAGUCAACUGAGGAAAGAACUGAUGCUGAUCCGAGAGUCCCUCUCUUGUUUCCAUCAAAUUCUGCACCUAGUUGCAUUACAGAACAGACCCAAUUCAAUAAAAAGAAGGCAAUAAAUGAGAGGAAAUUGCCGGAGAAGGAGGAGGUGAAGAUGAAGAGUCAGGAUCAAAUGCUGAGAAGCAGCCAAAGAUCCCAAGAAAAAGCAUUCUUUGACAGACCUCAUUCGAUUCAGCUUUCUCAAAGGCCCAAAACACUUACGAAAAUAUUAGGUGUUUGGUAAGUAUUUUUAGAAGUCCCUUAGCUAAACGUCAGCAGCUAUGGGAAUGCUGAAAGCUCAAUACAGGUCGGACCUACUUUUGAGCUUUCAGCAUUUCAGACCUACUUUAUACUAAUCAUCAGCAUCACUGUUCACUCUCUUCCCGUUCAUCUUAAUCUCCACCGAUUUACCACCUAAGAGUUGGGUCUUCUUCGGCGACCACCGCCUAAGGUUGCGCUAUCCGCGACUCAAGCGACGCCGCCUGAGUGUGCGACCUCAGGCCACCAGAUCUGGCAGUCCAGAGGCCAGAUCAAGCCUCCGCGACCUCAGGCCGCCGGAUAUGGCCGUCCGGAGGCCAGAUCUCAUCAUCCGGCGACCAGAUCUGGCGGUUCGGAGGCCAAAUUUGGCCGUCCGGCGGCGAGAUCUGGCCGUCCGGCGGUUAGCUGGCGGCGGCCAACGGCCAACCUACACCAAAUUAAGUUUUUAGAUUAAAAAAUUAAAAAAAAAACCUUUAUAAAUAUGGAUUUUACAAAAUGAUAUUUAUGCUAAAACUAUUUUCUAACGCUAUUUGGCCCGCCGUGCCUCAAAACGGGAGUCGGCUUUACCGUCCCUCUCGCGGUCUCGGAAGGUUGCGGACUGAGUGGUGCCGAGGACAAUCAGGACUUUCUUCUGCUCGCAGAGGCAGGAGGGAGAGUAACAGCAGGCAAAUAAUCGCAUACUCCUAUGACUAUCUCGUUAGAAAAAUGAAAUCAAGAAAUUACUCCACAGCUAAUUCAACUAGGCUAUAAACAAACAGAUACAGGGUAAGGGGGGAGCAUUAGUUAGGCAUGAGGCUAUUAUUCACAUCUCAGACAAUAUCAGCAUAUCAGAAAAAGAGGAGCGGAUUGCCAAUCACUUGUGGAGUUGAUAAAAAUUCAACAGAAAAAAGAAGGGUGAAUGCUAUAACUAUUUUUCCAGCAAAAUAAGUUUGAACACACAGGCGUACAGGAACGAGAGCUGCAUUUUACAGAACCUGAGAGUUCCAGUUCACCACAGAGUGCAACAUUAUAGUCUAUUCAGUCUGCCUCUUCUGUUAUAUACAGAGUUGAAGGUAUCAAUUUUCUGUCUAGGAGUGUUCUUUCUCACUGCUUAUUUACCAGACAAUAAUGUACUAAUUUGUCUACAUUGUUUAACAAAUGAAAUCAACCGAUCCUAAUUCUAACUAAUUCAGCUGAUGCAUAGGAAUGAAAUUGAGUUUCAAGAUCUGAGGCCUGACUGUUGCAUAGAUGGAAGCAGAUGAGCAGGGUUUACACGUGACUGGGGUUAGGCUAAAACUAUUGAUGUUGGAUACAAAUUGCAGUGAUCGAUCAUGGAGUCAACUAUGGAAAGAACUAAUACUGAUACGAGAGUCCCUCUAUUGUUUUUUCAUCAAAUUAAUGAAAAAAGGGCAAUGAAUGAGAGGAGAUUACCAAAGAUGGAGGAGUGAAGAUGAAGAGUCCGGAUCAAACGCUAAGAAGCAGAUAAAGAUCCCCCAGAUCAAUCAUUCUUGGGUUUGAGCUCCGCUGAAGAAAGACUUUUCGCAAGAUGGCUCGCUCGCCCUCUCGUGCAAUGCUCUUCUAGGAAGGUGAGGACUUGCGAGUUGCAGGUAUACUUAAAGCCAGCCGUUGACUUUUGAUGUGAUAGAGAUGAAGGCUGGCCGUUGACUUGCCAAAGAUUCGUUGGCGCAAACCACUAGAGUUCAAAUAGACGAGAUUUUAAUGCAUGUUAUUAGUUUGGAAAUCAUAUAAUUAUAUUGAUUGAUAUUCUUUUAAUGACGAUGAAAUCAUUCUUUAGUUGUAGGUGAAACCCUAGGCCCAUUUAAAUUCAACAUAAAUUGAAUCUACAAUUGUAGAAUCCACACUUGUAAGUCUUUGAGAUAAUUUAUAUUAUUUAUAGUAAACUUAUAAGACUGGAGUUAGGUUUUUAUGCUUCGUUUGUUUCGUGAAAAAAUGAAUAAUUUCAAAAUAAUUUAUUAAAUAUGAUUACUUGUAUCACAUGAAAUAAUUAGCUAAUAAAAAAUAUUUUUAUUGUAGACAGCAAUUUAUGUUUAAAUAAUUUCAUGGAUGAUGAAAAUAACUUUUGCUUAUUCAUUUUUGUAAGCGAUACAAGUAAUCUUUCUAGAAAAAUCCUUUGCAAAUUAUCUACCUUCUGCAAAACAUACAUACCUUUGAACUCUAAAAGCUAUAUCAUCUAGAAAUUUAUAAAGCUCCGAAAAAGUUACAAUAUAAGUGGAAGGUUAUCGAUAAUCAUUUUUUAAUCGGCUAUAGAAUCUCAUUACGUUCAUUAUAAAAUAAAGUACACCCUGGAUCUCCCCUCAAAGCAGAGAAAUACAACGAUCUUCCAAAAGAAGUACUGAAAAUCCUAAUUCUAAUCAAGUCUAAAUUGGAAAAUUACGUGAAAAACAUAAACCUUACUCAAUAACCCUUUGGGAAGAUAUGCAUUGCACAUCAUGCACGGCACACGGUGCACGUAGAGCACAUGUACGGCACAUGUAAGACACAUGAAAAUUUCAACGAUUGCCGAGGAAAAAUGUGUCGAGUUGCAUAGGGUUUAAGGCUCAAAUGGGCUAAAUUUAAGAAUUCAAGGAUUUAAAGAGUUCAAUUCGAAUGAAAUUCAUAAAAUCGCCUCGGUUUAAAAUUAAUACAUUGAAAUUAUUGCAGACCAAAUGCUAGGAAGCGGAUAAAGAUGCCAAAACCGAAGAAAGACUUUUAUUCAAGAGUCUACUCACCCUCACGUGCCAUGCACUUGUAGGAAGGUAAGGACUUGCUACUCAUCCCAGACGCAUUACAAUUUUACAUACAUUGAACCUGAAAACAUAGAAUUCAUACAUAUUAUGCACUUGAGAUGGAUUAUGUUAGACUUAUUCCCAAUAAAUUCAUAGACAAGAAUUAGGUUUUAAUUUCAAAGGCUGCAUUUGGACACGAAGGAAUAAAGCACCAAAAAAUUUACAACGAGUCUUCAAAAAUAGCUACAGUUGAAAUAUUCCAGAUGAUAUAUUUAUGGUUUUGUCCCAAUUUAUUUCUCAUAUGCAGGUAACGGAAACACUUUCAAAAUAGACAUCUCUCCAACCUAUUCAGAAGCCAUUUGAGUUUCUAAUAAAUCAACGUUUCCCUCAGCAUGGAGAGCAGAGAAAGCGUAAGUUCUAGACACAAGGUUUGCGGAACACAUGACCUCUAUGAUCUCUCGCCAAAGCGGCUAUGGAGGCACGAGAGUCUUGCAUCAAUGUUCACUUGAAGUAAGGGGGGAGGAGUCCAUUUUGGAGGGUCGUCGUUCACAACUCGUGACUACGAGCAACGUUCCAUCGCAACUCAUGGUAGAUGUCCUGUAUAUGUCGAAUUACUGAAGGAAGAUCCAUUUGGGAACGAGCUUCCAGAAUUUUGUUUCGACGCUCCGAUAAACCCACUAAACUAUCUCGACCAUAUUGCGAAAAUCUUCGCAAUAAAUGUCAGGUGGAAGGCCGAAAGCGAGGAGGCGCAGAGAUCACAUAGCACACAUGUAAAAAACAGAACCGCAAAAGAAGUUGAUAUGUCCAAGCCCCAGCCACCUCGACUCCAUACAAUUCAGGUCAUCCACUCUUCCCCUUUUGUCGGCAAAUUUGACUGAUCAAUGUUCUUCGAAGUAAAAAAGCAGUUUCGUUCUAACUGGAUCUUAGGGAGAAAUAUGACCUUUACCUAUGUAUGGAAUAAAUACGACAUCUUGGCCAUGGAAUGUUGACAAGACAUCGAAUGCAUUUUGUGCAGAUCUCAACAACCGAGAGCGGAUUCUUAUGAAGACUGUACUUCUGAUUAACUUGGAGGUCAAGGACAACCAUGAGGAGGCAGCAACUGGAGCUCAGCGUGCUUUAGAUCUUUGUCGAGAGGUCUUUCACUGGCUGUGCUUUAUGUAUUAAUGAUAGUAUGCUUGAUUUCUGUAUGCUGAGAAAUUGCUUAUUGUUUCUAAUUUUCAGAGGCAGAACAGGCGGAAAUUUUUAUUCAGCAUUUCCUUCUAUUGAUGACCGUGGUUAGGGCAAGACUAUUGUUCUGAAAGCUUUAUGAUCCAUGUCGUUGUUCUGUUAGUAUUUUGUCUGCAAAUUUAUAUGUCGACGAACUGAACUUUGGGUUUCUGUUUGUCCAUCUACUUGCACAAGUGGUAAUAGACUUAAAUACAUUACCAGAUUUCUUCCAACGCUGUUACUGUUUGCUUUGCACGAAGCCUUCCCUAGAAAUCUUUCCUUUCUAAGCCCAGCGAGCCCUAUUUAAUCCAUUACACAGCUAAUCAUUUCAUCAUACCCUAUCCUGAAUUUGAUCUCUUCUUAUGUCAGGAAGACUGAAUCAGGCUCUCCCAUGUUUUUACGCCUUCGCUUGAUCUUGGUAUUCCAUGCCAAUUGUUGGGUUUGAUGAACACUUUCCUUGACUACUCGUUAGUGGUAGGUCAUUUUGCAACAAUAUCUUUAUCUGCAUAAUGAGAAUUGUCAUUCUCACGCUUUGAAUUGAAUUUGCUACAGAAGCCUAUUCUUUGCUGAGCCUGUCAUACUAAUGCGCUGCAUACAUCCACUUUCAGAUUAACACUGCAUCGAUGUGGAAAAGAAAUUCUGAGUCGAACCCUUAUCCACUCACUUUAUCUCUGGAAUGUCGACGCAUGAUGAUGUAUUAGUAAUUGGAAGCAAGCCAGUCUUGCUUAGGAGUGAAAAUUCUAUUAUUUCUUGUAGUUUCUUCUUUUUUAAGUUUCUUUGUACUGCAGAACUAAUUCUGUGAUGGUACUCAUGUCGAGAGAGCGGAAAGAAAAGGAAUUCCGGCGUAUUGUAUAUAAUUUCUUUGAAUGCGAUGGGUUGAAAACCGCCUCUAUUUUCAUUUUUAUGUAUCGUGCAUAUGAAAAGAAAAACAAGAGAACAGAACCAACCUGACCUGGUCAGUCAUUUGAUGAUUUGGUUCUGUAUUUUUGGCAGGGUUCACAAUUCAAUCGAUCCUAUUUAUUUAAGAUGAGUUGGUUUUUGAAAAGAAAAUUACUAAAAAGCAGGAACUUCUAAUUUGAGUUCAUAUAGAAAUCGUCAGUUUUCUUGCUGGCUUGUUGGUCGUUCCUAGGAUCCUGUCCUUCAACUUGCUUUCCUCACUUCCUGAAUAAAAAUUCCCUUGCGUAUUCAUUUAAAAUAAUAGGCUCUGAUAAUUCGUCGAGAUUACCUAGUACUGACACACAAAAGUCAUCUCCAUGUAUGGCUUGCACCAAGGUUUGCAGUUUCACAUCUCAAAGUGGGGGAUGCUUUUUUGACCUUGGCGCAAGUGUCUUUUUUGGAAUGUCUCAAAUGCCAGUCUCUUGAGCCAGUGAAUUCUUCUAUUCUGCUGUUCCUUCGAGCCGGUGAAUUCUUCUUCUUCUCUGCUGUUCCCUCGGGAAGACGAUGCAGUCCAUCGAUCCGUCUGUGGAAAUAAAAUUUCUCCUCUCUCUGAACCUUCAAUCUCCUCUGCGUUAAUUUGUAUAACGCCAAACGCUCCAGUUAGUCAUGGUACGCUCUACCCUUAUGCAGAUCUUCUGCUUCUUAUGUCCAAAUAGACUUGUUUUUGCAUCGUGUCAGCUACAACCCAACAGUGCCAGUGAAACUCGGCCAAACAACAGUGCGCAUUAGACACAGAAAAGAGAGCUCUUCUGCUCACGCAUUUUAUCAAAUGUUACUAUGGUAUGAACGAUGAAGAGAAAUCGAACGAUAAUGACUCUCCAUGAACUAACAAACAGCGGCAUCAGCCAGCAUUUCCAUUUCAGAAGACAUAAAGUCUGAUUCACUCAGCUCCUCAUGGGCCUCAUAGUCAUCCGUAAUGGCGACAUACCAAUCUUGCUUCAUCUGUCCUAAGAGAUCUUAACAAAGAAUAAAUAUCACCCUUAUGAGGGUGCCUCUUGUCCUUGACAAUGAAGACAUGAACUUGACCCUGAAUUUCUAUCCAGCUACAACCGGGCUGCUUGACUACUCCUCGUCACCUCAUCGGCUUCCUUAUUCCAAUGACAUCGCCCAUUUUUUGCUUUCCGCGUACAUGUUUGAGAGCAGAACAUAAGGUCCAGAGUUCGAAGGGUCGAUCUCUAAGAGCUUCUCUGCUACAUGCUUUCCUAGCAUUAUAUCCUUAUGAACUUUGCAGGCUGUGAGCAGCGAACCCCAAACGAUAGCAUCAGCUUGAAUGGGCAUUGCCUCUAUUAAGUCCUUUGCUUCACUGGGACAACCGGAUCGGUCGAGCAAAUCAACCAUGCACGUAUAAUGGUCCUUUACCGGUGCCAGACCAUACUCCUCAACCAUCCGCUUGAAAUAAUGGCACCCCUCUUCGACCAGCCAUGCAUGGCUGCAUGCACAUAGAACCCCGAUCAUAGUGACAUGGUCUGGUCUCUCGCCAGAUACCAACAUUUUCCUGAAUCAGUAACCGUUCUGCGCAUAUCCGACAAUUGUGGCAUUCCAUGAGACCUUGUCCCUGUCCAACAUAUCUUUGAACACCCAUAAACCAUCUUCCACAGCUCCACAUUUAACGUCCAUGUCUAUAAGAGAAUUUCCAACAAAAAUAUCGAAUUCUUCUCCAUACUGGAAGCGAAAUCCGUGCUUCAAGACAUGAGCACAAGCCUGCUGCCCCAACUGCAGAUCGGCAAGAUUUGCACAUGCAUUGAGAAAAUUUCCAAAUGUUUAGUGCGUCGGAACAAUGGCUUCUCUCUUCAAAAGGCGGAAUAAACCAAAUGCUUCUUCAUUCUCUCCAUUCUGGGUAUACCCUGCAAUAAGGGCAUUCCAAGAAACUACAUUCUUCUCCAUCAUCCUCAUAAACAUUACUCUUGCAGUUUUGAGACUUGCUGCUCUUGCAUACCCGCUUACCACGGAGGUGGCUGACACUAUAUCCCUGGUAGGCAUUCUGUCAAAAACUGCUCUGGCCUCGCUAAUUCUAGAGCACUUAGAAUACAUAUCAACCAAUGCAUUUCCUAAAACAACAUCAUUUCUAAAUUUGUCACAUUUUACAACAUGGGCAUGAAUUUGCAUCCCUUCCUUAAGUGCCGACAGGCUAGCGCAUGCGCUGACCACACUGACCAAAGUGACCUCAGCUAUUUCAAACCCACAAUCCAUCAUGCUCACAAAAACCUCAAGAGCUUCACUGGCUGGACCAUUUUGUUCAUAACAUGUAAUCAAGCUGUUCCAAGAAACUACGUUUCCAGAACUCAUUUCAUCAAAAGCCCUCUGUGCACAAGCCAUGUUGCUACUCCAAGGCUGUGCACAAGCCAUGUUGCUACUCCAAGGCUGUGCACAAGCCAUGUUGCCACACUUGGAGUACAUGUCGAUAAGAGCAGAGCCCAUACGAACAUCGGACGAGCACUCAGACUUCAACAUCAAAGCCUGAAUCUGCUGGCCCAGAUCCAUAUCCCCUAACCCAGCGCAUGCACUAAGAGCACUACCAAAUGAGUACUCAUUAAGCACAUAAUUCUCCCUAUGCAUCUUACCAAAACAUCGCCAAGGCUUCUUCAAAUCUUUCAUGCUGCGCAUAGCCCGACAGCAUUGAAUUCCACGAGUACUGGUGGGGUUCCAGCACCGACCCGAAUAUCUUUUCUGCUUCAUCAAGAGAACCCAGUCUGAUCAACCCACCUAAGAUCGCAUUCCGUGUGAAGGUAUUCUUCUCAGGCAUUCUAUCGAACAUUCUGCAGGCGUCGUCGAGGCACCCGCAUCUCACAUAGAUAUCGAUGAGCCGGUUCUGGAUGAAAACCUCAGCGGAGAACUGGGUCCUGAUGAUCCGAGCGUGGAUGCGGCACGCGUCGCGUGCUGACUUGGACAGGCCGCAGCCGUCCAGGAGCUUGGCGAAGGGGGACGAGGUGGCGAAAGACAGAUAGCCCGCCAGAGCCUUGACCUGCGCAUGCCUCACCAUUCCAUCAUAUCAUCGUAAGAAGUGAACUCUCUCGGAGAAGAUUCGCAUAGGUGUAAAUUGAAUGCGAUGGGGAGUUUCUGUUGACCGUUAUAUGCUUCCCCACUUCAGCCAGACGCGCGGGAACAUGAUACGAGCGCUCAUAUGAAGUGGGGCAAAGUUGCACCGUUGCAGUGGCAAAAUGGUAAUUUAGCAUAACAAUCUACUAAUUAGACUCAUGACUAUGAAUUAAAUUUUUAAUUAUGAGUAAAUCUAAGCUAUAAAUUGAAAUAUGUCAUAUAUUUAAUAUCUUGUUGUAAGUCACUGAAUUAAGAUUAGUCAUAUUUAAAAUCUAUACUUAUUGCUUUAUCAAUUAUAAUUAUAAGCUUAAUAUAUGACAAGUCAAUUUUAUUAAGAGAUAGCUGGAUUAUUUACAAAUCAAACAUAAAUUCUUGUUUAGUAAUUUUGAUCAUUCUAAUUAUAACUCAUUCUGACCAAAACAAGAAAAAUUUAACUCAUCAUUGAAAAAAUGCAAAAACCAAUUCUAGAGAAUGAAAAUUAGAUAUAUGUUGGAUGGGAUAGCUUUUCAUUGGCCCCCUCCCUCGAGGAAUAGCUAACCUUGAUUUUAAGAGAAUAGCUAUUAAUUUGAUGGAGCUAAUCUUGAUUUACUUCUUAACCAACUAAGGACUAACUAUCUUAUCAUGAGUAGACUGAGAAUAAUGUAGCUAUUGUGAUAUUUCUACAUUAACUCGCAACAUUAGUAAUGUUCUAACUUAAUUGCACUUAACUUUAGAGUAAAACUACCAAGAUAGGCGGCUGUACUUUCAAGAGGUCACUUAUCUUGAUAAUGCUCUAACUUGACCACGCUUAACUUUGGAACAGAAGUAUUUAUUGGUCUCAUGGGAAAGUGCUUGUCUGCACGCCAAAUGAUAAAAUCGUGAGAUUUGAAAUGGGAUGGGUCCCAAUAGAUAAUACCUUGAGUGAAUUAAUUCAGAAACAUCAUAGUUAUCUGUCCUAGAACAAAAGGUGCAGUUGAAUUUUCAAUUAAGACACAUCUUGUUCAAGUGAGGAUUGUCCCUUUUGUUUUGUUUUGUUUUCUUGGUUUUUUUUUUUUUUUUUUGAAUGAAUAAUUUGAUCUUCUUAGAUGUUCUGGUAAGAAAAAUCGAUUGAUCUUCUAAGAUGUGCGCUCCCGUGAGCCUUUGUGAGGGAGAGCUUCAUGAUAAGAAAUGAAGCCCAUCUGAACACACAUCCAAUCCGUCAAGGCUUUGAAACUCUUUCGGCUUUAUGCGACCAAGAACUGUCGGAUCUGAGAGUUGUUUCAGGUCUUGAAAGGCCCAUUGAUGUUCUUAUUUCCUUGCGAAGUGGGAUAUGUAAGACAGACAAAUUCCUGGGAAGCCUAGGUAAGAACCUGAGGUUCUUAAAAACUGAGGACGAGUUUCCUGAGCAGAGGAAGGACAAUGAGAUAUGAAGAUAGGGUGGUGAUUUGCCGGGCUUGCAACUGCAGCAAGGACUCGAGUUUGCUUAACCUUCCAAUCCACCAAGGAUCAUGGAGCUUCUUAAAGUCCGUAAGUGUCCUCAGGAUACCUCAAUACAUAUAAACACAAGCAUCUUUGAUUUAAUAGGUUUGGGAGAUCUGGAAACGAGUACAUUGAGAAAAUUACAAGCACAAAUUAGUUUAGACUCUCGAGAAGCAUAGGAAGUCCCGGAAUCUGAGUUCUUGUCAAUCUCAAGAUCCUCAGAGAUUUAAUUCUCCUAACAUCAGUCGGAAUUUCCCCCUUCGUAUGCUUGCAACCACCGCCAUUUAUCUCUGCAAGCUUCUGCCAGCAUCGCCAUUCAGAUUAAUUGAGUUUCCUAUUGAAUAAGGUAAUUCCGGAAUAGAUGAGGAAGGAUAGAUCCAACUGCAUUCUUGAUUCCAUGUUUCCCCAUUGUCUCUGGUAGAAAUCCUACAGAACUUCAAGUUCAAAACGAAUGGUCACAUCAAUUCGGACCAAUCUUUUACGUCUUUCAAGAAUCAGUUGCUCUGAACUCGCAUGAUAAGAGAGGUUGGGAGUUCUGUGCAACUGUUCACAUCCAGUCGGAUUUAGACCCUUCAAUUUCCGUGCCAUAAGUAAGGAGAUCACAAAUAAAUAUUGCGUCUUCACUGGCAGCAAGAGUAAUCACAUAAAAGUUUUCGACUAAUGUUAUUGUACAUUGAUGUGACUCCAUCUACCAAUACUCCAUGGAAGAUCAAGGAUAACCAUCUUCUGUAAGGAAAAGAGUUGUUCAACCUAAAAUUCCUGGGAAAGUCAGUGCCAUGAAAGCCAUCUCGACUUCGAAAGAACGAGUGGAUUCUUGCGGCAACAAAAGUUAUGCCAAGAAAUCCUUGUUAGAGUAACUUAAGAAUAGGCUUUUAGUUUCUUCAUCCACAAAGAAGUCCUCAGAUAUAAGCUAGAUAUACAUUCCUUAACGUUUCGCUAUCCCCUCAGCAGAAAAAUAAAAGAGUAGUUAAUACUGACCUGGCUUCCUUCUAUAUUUAUUCAAGGUCUACAUUUCUAUUUUUUUCGAGAUUUUACUGAUGAUUUUGAUGUUCGUAUAUGAGAAAUAGCCCAACUUGGACUGAGGUGCAAUAAUAAAAACAAACAUAUUCAUGACUUAUCUUUCUGUAACUCAUCUGAACUUCAAGUGCCUCCUCGUAAUUCCCUCUCCUACUUUGCUUCUCGAGUUUCAUAUCAUUUGCUUCACGAACGGUACCUCUCCCAAGGUCUCUUAACCAAUCACGCAUCCACAGUCGAGAGUCUUCUCUAAUUUUUAUUAGAGUCAUCUGCUGGAAAACUUGAACAGCUUCUUCAGAGAAAAGAUUACAGCACUCCCACAUGUGACACACAAUUCUUUUAUCAAACGCAAUGAAUAAUCAAGCAAUAUCUAAGAAUAUGUUUUCUGUCAAGAAUCUAAUGCCUCAAUACUGAUCAUCAACUUCUUUUUAACAUCCUCAUGACGAAAUUUUUCCAACCUCGUCAAUAUGUUAUUCAGCUUUGUUAUGGUUUUCCCUGACAAGAAUGAACCUACAAUCGCAAGUGCUAGAGGAAGACCAUCGGAAAUAUUCACCGCUUGUAUAGAAACAAGGAUGUACCCCUCUGAUGGAUAAUCUCUUCCAAAGGUGUGUCUGCUGAAAAGUUGGAGGGAAUGAUCAAAAUCCAUGCAAGUAAGUUCAUAAGUGCAAUCAACUAUAGUCGGACUGAGUACUCCCACGUUUCUUGUGGUAAAACCAAUCAUGCCUUGCCACAAGAGCGUCUGAGUGUAUUCUUAAGUCGACAUCAUCAGGACGUAGAACUCUUCUGGAGGAUUACCUCUCCUUGAUUGUAUUUAUCCCUUCAUCAAUAUUAUUAAUUUCGGACCAUUUCCUUUGGAGGAUACUAGAGAUGAGUUGAUUCUGCAAAUACUCUACACUUUUUUACUUUGACGUUUCUCGAAUGUCAGCAAGGAAGCAACAGCGAUUAAAACCAUCUCAAAAUUUAUUGUAGACAAUUAUGGCAAGUGUCGUCUUUCCAACACCACUGAUUCCAUAAAUUCCGAUCAUGCCUGUUUCAUUCGUGUGAGCGCCCAUCAUCCUCUUGACUUCAUUUACAUAACUAUCCACUGCAACCAAGAAAUCUGAUACUACCAAGUAGGCCUUUUUCAACUCCAUCAAAACCUUCAACCAAAAAAGCAACCAAAAAAAAAAAACUCCAUCAAAACCUUCCUGAUAACUUCCUUUCGGAACUCACCUUCCCUCUGAUAGCAUUCAAUGCAAAAGAACCAAGAUGCUGAAAUGAGUUAAACAAAGUUAAUUACAGGAAACAAACAAGUCAUAAGGAAUGAAUUUAGUUAUCUUUUCGGAUUGUUUUGGAAGUCCCACCCUUUAUUGCUCCAACCCCAAUGAAAGCAGCCCUCCAAGUGUGGAGAGUCUUGUGAUCAAGCCGCUUCUUGUUUUCAUGAGAAUCAAAGCUUUGUUGUAGAGCCCAGUUUGAUAUCAUACCCCUCAUGGUCCAACUUCUUAGAAAAUGGACAUAAUUUUGCGUCCUCCUGUUCCUGCACUCUGUAAUCUGCACCAAUUUGCUAAAGCACCAUUCACUGGCAGCAUAUCCUUUAGAGAAGAUGGGUAUCAAGGAUUUUUAACUGCUCCACCGCUUGAAGAAGCUCCACGCCUUCUCCGCGAAGCCCUUCAUCAUCUCUACAUACUCGAAUUCCAGCAUCUUUUAUGUUGGUAUACAGGAAAUCAAUUUUGCCAGAGCAUAUCUGGAUCUCUAAAGCUUAAGAAUGCUUCUUAAUCAUAUCCUAUUGACUUCCCCAUUUCCUGAAUAGUAAGGUGCAACAAUAGCACAUCAAUAUCUGAAAUUACAUAGUCGAUGGUCAUGAUGCAUCAUCAUAAUUAUCUGCUCUUUCUUUUUGGUACAUUUCUGUCACCAAGACUUACCCCAAGAAAUUCAUACUGCACCUGAAAAUGUUAAAUACAUAGACGCAGUGAUGAUGAGGCCAAUUUCUAUCAGAUGCCAAUGCAGAGAUCUAUUCUGGUAUAGAGAACCUCUUUGACAAAAGCAUAUUGUUUCUCAGCAUUUUGUGCGAGCAAUUAGUAAAGCACAGCACCCUCUUCCUUUACGGGCCUCACAACAGUGAAAGGGGUAAAAAGAAACUGAUAUAAAUGAUAUGUAACUAUUUUCUCUGGAAAGAUGAGCCAUUUCAACUGCUCAGAUUUACUAUCCAGACUGCCCGUAUUAGUUUGUUAUAUAAAUGGAAAUACAGUAAUAUUCACUAAAAAGAUGCAAACGCUAUUCUGAGUAAUGCUCAAAUGGCCAAUGAAAUAAGAAAACAAAGAAAAGUGGAGCAACAUUAGUAGUCUGUUUAUUGUUUGGCUUAUAUCUGUGUUGAUGUACUACUAAGUAAAUUUGAUUAUAAAAAAUGACUUAUUACCCAAUGAUGACUCCUUUGAUUUCAAGUGACAAGGAAGUGGAAAAGGAAGUGGAGUUCUGCAAAAACAUUGUCGCUAAUUACAAAGUUGGAUUCUGAAGCAGAAGUAACAAAGACAUAAGACACUACUUAAGACAGAGGCCAAGAGUUUAAAAAGAAGGAAUACGUAUUACUUGGUCCAUCUUAAAUUUUGGUGAAGGCUUCACAACUUUCUAAUCAAAAAGCAGUGCUCAAAGAUUGCCUCCUCUGCAUUCUUCUUCAUUUUAUGCAAUUGAACCUAUAAUUGCAGGUCAAAAGAGGGUAUUCUUAAGUGCAAUUUGCUGCAAAAAAUGUCCCAGCAGCUUGAUUAAUGAACUUACUAGGCCAUAGAAAGGGAGUGCAAAUCUACUUCACAGUUAUCUUCAUAACCUCCCUUCUUUGAUGUUAUCCAUAUGUUCAACAGACAAAUUAUGUCAAGAGAACAACAUUUGACUGAAAAUUCCGUCAAACGACUCAAAAUCUGCAGGUUAGAUACCAUUUCUAGUUCCCAAAGGAGUUCGGGUUCAUCAUAAGGAAUUUCGCAAAAAGGCAGAAAUCAAGGGAUUAUUGAUAGCCAACAUUCGGCUUUGCUAUCCAUAUAAACUCACAAAUCAGCAGACAAUUUACCAUUAAUUAGCUCAGGUAAUAGUAGAGACACUAACAUUCAUUCAUGAGAGAAUAGGAAAGAAAUAAUAGUAUGAUGGUUGACUUGCAACUGAUGGAAAAGCAGAAAUUGGUGUGCUGAAGUUCGAAUAAAGUGAAUGAAAUCAAUGGCUUUCUUGUCUCUCUCAUGGGCUAAAGUUCCCCAACUCGGCUGUUAUCUCAUCUCUCCAUUUCUGUUCUUAAUUUCAUCUUCUUGAAUCACUGUGUACUAACUCAGAAGAGACUAUGUCCGGCUAUAACUAAAUCUCAUUAGCCAAAUGAAAUCAAAUAAUUCCAAUGUAACUAAUUUAAAGUUUACCUUGGCAACCGUCGAGGAUGUGUGGUGCCAUGCAAGGCGACACUGAGAUUGUGUGACCUCUGCAGCCGCCGCCAAAGGGCUGGAUUUGGGUUGAUUGACCAUCGACCUCAACACACAGCGGCUCAGGCAAAGACAGCAGCUCGACGGUCAGUGCGGCCCAAGUGAGGGCCAUUAAGGCGUCUCGAUGCCAGGCAAGGUGACAUCGAGGUCACAUGACCUCCGCAACGCCUGUAUAACUUCGCAUAUCUUUUUUUCUUUUUUUCUUUUUUUGUGAAAAAAAAAAGGACAACUAGCCAAAAUGUUGACUGCUCUGCAUGUCUCGUUUGUUUAGGUCAAUGAUACACUGGCUUCACAGUUGCUUCCUCUCUUCAAUGCAUGGGCCAAAAAAUGAUUCAUUUUUUCCCUUCCACACUGAUCGGCAACUCCAUAUAGAAUAUUGCUUUCAGAUCCUUCUUCCUGAAUACCAUCUCUCAUGCAGAAUCAACUUUUCUCAAUCAAUGUCUGAGCCUUUAAGCCGUCAUUCACUUGUCUCCCUUCCGACGGGUAAUCAAUGUCCUCAGUAAUGUUUAUACCCAUUUAAUAGACUCUCCCAUCCCCAGGAAGCCUUAGCCCCCAGUUCACAGCUUGCAUUAACUCACUCCUUAGAAAAUUCAAACACUUUGUCGGAAUUUCUUUUGACACUUUCGAUAUCAUCCACACAAAGUUGCAUCUCUUUUAGAGGGAACAUUUUUUUUUUUUCUCAAGGUCGCUAGUUUAGAUGACCCCUUGAAAGUUCUUUUUAUCAUCCUCUCUAACCAAAUUAAUCUUAGACAUAUCUAAUUCUAAGCCUUUACUUUCCCCUUUCUUUGUACACCAAUGAACAUAUCCUAAUAUUUGAACUGUGAGGCUGCCAUAAUGAUAUUGGUAGUCUUUUCACAUGGGCAAAUAUGUUAUACAAGAAAUGAAGGACUCGUGACAAGUAGAGUUUCCAUCACAUAAUAAGCAAUAGUAACUAUCUUCAUCGAGAUUUAGACAACCAACAGACAACCAUGAAAACAAGGGACAGGAUCAUGCUUUCUGUGAAUUAAAUUGCUUCUCAAUUUCUAAAGGCACCAGAAUUGACCAUAGUCAGAAUGGAGAAUGAAGAACAGAGAUUUGAAAACUGAUUGAUUCAUCAUGAAAUCUAAAGCAGUAAUCAUUACACUCUUUACAGAUCAAUUUGCUGGUUAAUUCCAAUUGGUAAAAAAACUGUCUCUUUACCUGCCAACUCUGAUUCCUUGGCUCCACCUAUUUACUUCUCUGGCUCAGACUUAGUGACUUCCUUCAAAGUCCUCCAAUCAUUAGAUCCCAGCAAAUCUUUUACCUUCUCACACUCAUGUAUCCUCAAAUAUUUUAGCUUCUUGAAGCUUGAUGGAGCCGGUAGCUUUUCCAGAUCUCUGCAGAACUCAAUAUGAAGCAUCUCCAAUGAUUCUAGUCUGCCUUGAAUCUCAACCAGUUUAGGACAAUUAUACAGUUUAAGUUUCGUGAGGUUGUUUAAGGUAGUGAGGUCGGGCAAUUUUUCCAGUGAUGUAACUCUAAAGAACUUCAAUGAUCUCAGCUUCUCCAAGCCUUCAAGACCUUGAAUCUCUGUUAUUUCACAACAUGUAACUUCCAAAUCCGCUAGUGCCCUCAAGUUUGAAAGGUCUAUCAAUGUCUUCAUUUCCCAACAACCUUUUAUAACUAAGCUCGACAAACUUGCGGGAAUCCUCGGAAGGUAUUUCAUGUACUCACACCUGAGCUCAAGUUCCUUGAGUUCAGAAAGGAGGACAAGGUCUGAAGAUAGGGUGGUCAGGUAAGGAGAUUCCGGCCAUAUAGACUCUAGUUUGUGUAAACUUCCGAUCCACCAAGGACCAGAAGUUUUCUCAAGUUCAGAAUGGUCCAUCCUUGAACUCCACAAAACCAAACUCAAAUCUCUUAAGUUCGAUAGGUUUGAGAGAUCUGGGAAUGUCUUCAUUGACCAAGUGCCAAAGUAAAGACUGGUCAGACUUUCAGGAAGCUUGGGCAAUCCUGAAACUCGAGUGUAUGUCAGUCUCAAGACUCUUAGAAAUUUUAAUCUCCCGAUAUUGCUCGGCAUUUCCCAUUCCAAACAUCCACGGCAGUCAGCAUCUAACUCUUCAAGCUUAUCCAAUAGUCCUAUGGCACUGGGUAGUUUUCUCAAGGUACUGCAGCGUAUUCUCAGUACUUUCAAAUUCUUCAUAUUUCCUAACGAAGAAGGUAGCAUUUGAACCUGUGAGUGGGAUAGAUCCAACUCAACCAGUGAUUGCAAGUUCCCAAUGGACUCUGAAAGUUGAGUAAUCUUAGUUUCUACAAACGAAAGCUUCAAUAAUGAUGCUAAGCAGCCAACUGAACUACAAUCAGUCAAAUAUUUACAAUUACGAGCACUAAGAAUUUCCAGUUUCUUCAUUACUUUCCAUUCGGGAAUUUCUUUUAUUGAUGUGCCAUCCACAAGAAUUUCUGUUAAAGCUUCUAGUUUAGCAAGCUCAUCUGGCAGCUUGCUGAGUUUAGUGCAGAACUUUAAGUUUAAGAAAACUAACUCCUUUAGCUGACCAAUAGAUCUAUCAAUAUGGACCAACUUCCGACAUCUUUCAAGAAUUAAUCUCUCUGAAAAUACAUGAGAUGAGAAGUCAGGCGUUCUAUUUAACUUUCUGCAUCCAGUCAGAUUUAGAACCUUUAAGUUCUUUGCCAUCUGUAAGGGAGAACAACAAAAUUUAAAUCCCAUUAACGAGAUAGAAGAUUAAAAAAAAGAUAUUGAACUUAUUUUGAAACACUUCCUACGCUUCUACCUUGAUGUGGCUCAUCUACUCCAUUUUUUUGUAAUUUUACUCCAUGAUAGAUCAAGAAUCACUAGCUUUGUCAGGGAAAGAGUGGUCAGAUCAAAAGUUGCAGGAAAGUUAUUCCAUGAAAGCUAUCUCAACAUCAAAAAUAUGUAUGGACUCCUCCGGAAAAAACUGGCUGGAAGAACAUUCAAGUGGCAACCACACUGAAAAGAACUGACUUGAGCAAAACAAUGAAGGUUUGUGCUUGUCUCAUUGAAGUUUACGCGAUCCACUUGCAAGAACCUUAGGUUUGAUAGACUGGCAAAUACUUCAUAUGUAAUGUUGUAUUCACAAUUACUUUCAAACUUGAGACAAAUUGCUUCAACAUUUUCUAAUCCCUGGCAAAAAGGGAAAUAGCAGUUAGAAAGCAAAUAGUUCUUGUUUGGAAAAUUAUAUUCAUUUGGGGUGCUAUCUUUCCUCGAAAUUAUAUAUUACUUUAGGAGAUAUGUCGGUACUGUGAGUGGAAAAGAAAUAAUACACAAGAAAUUCUUUUAAUUGGUGACUAGUUAAAUAGAACGCUCUUGAGAAUGAAUGACUUUGUAUACUCACCUUUGUCCUCAUAAGAAGAUCAAACACAUCAUCAUGAUUCCAUACUCUGCUUUGCUUCUCUGAUCUCAUAGCACACUCUUGAUGAAUGAUUUCAUGUCCAAGGUCUCUUAGUUGAUCACGCAUCCAAAUACAGUUGUCUUCUUUAAUCUUUAUUAAAGACAUCUUCUGGAGGACUUCAAUGGCUUCUUCAGGAAAAAGCUCCCAACUUUCCCACAUAUGGAUCACAAUUCUUUUAUCAAAACCAAUGAAGAAACAGGCAAUAUCAAGGAAUAUGCUCUUUUGUCUAUCAUCUGAUGCCUCAAAACUGAUCUUCAACUUCUUUUUUAUGUCCUAAUGAAGAACUGUUUUUUUUUUUUUUUUUUGGGUAAGUCCUAAUGAAGAACUGUUUCCAGCUUCUUUAAUGUGAUAUCCCAUUGUGCUUUGCUUUUUCCAGAUAAAAGUGAACCCAUAACCUCCAGAGUCAGAGGUAGACCGCCACUAAUGUUCACGGCUUUUAUGGAGUAAGGGAGGAAUUCCUCCAAAGGAUAAUCUCUUCUAAAUGCAUGUCUGCUGAAAAGUUGCAGAGAAUGGUCAAAAUCCACGCAGGGAAGUUCAUAAGUCCAAUCAACUUUCGGCUCAUGAAGAACAUCAUUGUUUCUGGUGGUAAUGAUAAGCUUGCUUCCUUUGCCAAAACAUUUUCGCUUCCCCAGGAGAGCAUCCAGUUGAAUCCUUUUGUCAACAUCAUCAAGUAGAAGUAGAACUCUUUUACAGAAUAACCUCUUCUCAAUUAUCAUAGUCCCUUCAUCCAUAUUAUCAAUGUCUAGCCAUUUCCUUCAAAGGAGUAUAGGGAUGAGCUGAUUCUGCAAAUACUCAAUACCCUUCUACUCAGCAGUUUCUCGUAUGAUAGAAAGGAAGCAACAACCCUUAAAAUGAUGGGAGAGUUGGUUGUAGACGAUUUUGGCAAGUGUCAUCUUCCCAACACCACCCAUGCCGUGGAUUCCAACAAUCAUAGUUUCACCAGUGUCAGCAAACACGUUCUCAUUAUUUCACCUACAUGAUUGUCCAUUUCAACCAAGCAAUCAGAUACGACUAAGUAGGCCUUUUUUAACUUAAUCAAAACCCUGUUGACAACUUCUUUUACGAACUCACCUUUACCUCUGAUAGCAGUAAAGGCAAAAGAACUAAGAUGUUAGAUUAAGAAGCAAAAAAACUAACCAAAAAACAGAAAGAAUAUUCAUCUCUGGAGAAAAACAGAUUAUAGACCAUGAUGAAGAGCAAGACCUAUUCGGAUUGCUUUGGAAAUCCCAUCCCUUUUAAGGCUCCUAUCUCAUUGAGAGCAGCCUUACACCCAAGCAUGGUGUUUUCAUCAAACUGCUUCUUCUUCACGUGCAAAAGAAAGGCCUCACCAUAAUCCCCAAUUUGGUUUCGAACCUCAGAUGGCCUGACACCAAAGAAAAUGGGCACAAUCUUCUGCCCCGUAGCUCUCUUGCACUUCACCGUCUGUACCAAUUCCGUAAGACGCCACUUACUGUUGGCAUAGCCUUUAGAGAAGAUGGGUAUCAAGAUUUUGGACUGCUCAAUUGCUUGGAGAAGCACUGGACCGAUCUCUUCGCCAGUACGGAGCUCUUCGUUAUCUCUGUAUGCUCGAAUUCCAACAUCAAUGAGAUUGGUAUACAGGAUAUCAGCAAUGUCCAAGUGUGUAUCGGGUCCUCUAAAGUUGAAGAAUACUUUGUAACAUGUUGACAUGGCUUCACAACUUCCAGCGUUUGAGAUGAUUCCUCAGUAGACAAGCAGCAGCAGAAUCACCAACAGCUUCGGUGAUCCCGUUGUCUGUAUUCACCUCUUCACUGGGUUGUACAGAAAGAUGGAAACAAUGGAAGCGACGAUCAAUGCUGAGUGCGAGGACCAACCUGGGGGCACCCUCUAAACCUGUAAAAACAAUGUUGUGAAGAUUUCUGUCAGGAUGGGAAACAAAUGUAUGUGAGAUCUGCUCAGAUCAAUGAUUGAUAUCAGCCUUUUUUCUGGGUAACAGUGUAUCUAAUAUAUAUUCCAUCGUCUUCAAAAACUAAAGAAGGAAGCUUCCUCUUCACUUCAACCGAGGCAUCCACGAUUUAGUUAUUUUGUCGGCCAUAUACACACGAUUAAAACGCGGCCUCUCUAUGGCAGCCACGAGGGAGGAUAAGAUAACCUCGACGGAGCAAGCCAACAAAAGAGACAGCUUUUACCGUAUUAGUGAUGAUUACCUUGGAUUUUUUACUAUUAUUCUUCGUAUACAAAAGCUACUAGUCCCUGAUAUGUUGAUGAGUCCGUUAAAACUUUAAAAAUUACUCACCCCUUGGUAGGAACAGAAGAUGCACAGCAGAAGCAAUAUGAAAAAUAAUCUUCGAGCCUCAGCUCUUAUUCAACAUUAGAAUAACAGUAGAAGGAGCUUGCAAUACUUAGAGCUUCUGAGAUGCCGCCCAACCCCUGAAAUCAGGCGCAACCAUCGCCUACAUUCUUCCAUCUACCAUACUUAAAAGUCCAAGAGAGAAAAAAUAUCCUAAAAAAUUACUCUGACAAGUCGGAUUCCACGAGAUCAGACUGCGUCUCCGCCUUCAAAGUCCUCCACCAAUCAUCACAACCCAGAGAAUCUUCUACCUUCUCACACUUAUGUAUAAGCAAAGAAUUCAGCUUCUUGUGGCUUGAUGGAUCGGGUAACUUUCUGAAAGAUUUACAGGAACCAAUCCAGACUGUCUCCAACAAUUCUAGUCUGCCUUUGAUCUCGACUGUUUCAGGACAACACUGCAGAUAAAGUUUCUGGAGCUUCUCUAAGUUGGUCAGGUCAGGCAACUUGUCCAAAGAUGGAACUGCUUCAGCUUGGAUA